rnacentral:lncRNA from 1 species
GAAUCUAUUCCAAACAUAUAUGUCAUGGUUCCUUACUUCGACAGGGUACAAAUAUCUAAAUUUGAUAUUUUUAGAUACUUUUUCAGCUCCCAAGCAGUGGGAGUAGCCAGGGCUCUGACCGCGUGCCUGUUGAAGAAUAAGCCGGCGACUCAUAGGCAGUGGCUUGGUUAAGGGAACCCAUCGGAGCCGUAGCGAAAGCGAGUCUUCAUAGGGAAAUUGUCACUGCUUAUGGACCCGAACCUGGGUGAUCUAUCCAUGACCAGGAUGAAGCUUGGGUGAAACUAAGUGGAGGUCCGAACCGACUUUUCAAAUAGUUUAUGACCCUCUCUUCUACAAAAAAGUUGGCAAGUUACGAUACUGAAAUUGAAAGAUCUCUUUGAUUGCGCGGGAAAGGACAAGCAUUAUCUUCCCAAAGCAUAGCUUGUGAAGGUAUGGAGAAUCAGGAAGUAAAAAAAUAUCAAUUCAUGCAAAGUACCACCACAAGUCCAAAUAGAGGAUCAAUUUGAUGAAGCGGCGCCAAGGCCAGCGAACAGAAUCCUAAGGGAUUAUGACCUGACCGCUUCAAUUGUGAAGCUAGUGCCAGAAAACCUCUAGUGGCAGCCAACAACUUUGAUUGACUUUUUGGAACUUUUUGAAACAACUAAGUAUAAUGGAGUACCUCCAAAAGCUAUCAAGUUAAGGCUAUUUCCUUUUCCUUUAAAAGGAGAUGAUAAGACUUGGUUGCGAAGUUUUCCUCAAGGUUCCAUUACCACAUGGGAUCAAAUGACUCAGAAAUUAUUAAACAAAUAUUUUUCCCUAGCUAAAACCACAAAGUUAUGACAAGACAUAUCUAAUUUCUUGUAGACUGACACAGAGUCAGUUUAUCAAGCUUGGGAAAGGUUAAAAGCAAUGUUAAGAAAAUGUUCAAACCACGAUAUUCCUGAACAUAUGUAAUUGUAUAUUUUUUAUCACGGGCUAAAACCCUCUUCCAGAAAUGUGAUAGAUGCAGCUACAGGAGGUUCUGUAAUGGGAAAAAUCACAGAAGAAGCAUUGCAAAUGUUGAAUGAAAUUUCUGAGAAUUCCAUCCAAUGGCCAUCUGAGCGUAUAAUUAUCAAGAAGGCUGAUACAGUAAAUUAGGUUGAUGCUUUAAAUACACUAACGCAGCAAAUUGUUUCUUUGGCACAAAACUUUGAAGCGUUUCAUGUGAAUACACAACAACCAAGCCAAUCUGAGGUUAGUGAAAUGUGUGGAGGAAAUUAUCAGAACCAUGAAUGUCAAGCAACCAAUCACAAUGAUGAACAUGUCAACAUCAUCGGUUACAAACAGUAUCCUUUUGGACGUCCAAUGGCAUAGAAACAUCAAGAAUUUCAAUGGAGAAAUUCAAAUGGUGCAAAGAGCUCUCAAAGCUUCCAAAAUCAACAAAGGAUUUCAAUGGAGAAAUUCAAAUGGUGCAAAGAGCUCUCAAAGCUUCCAAAAUCAACAAAUACAGGGUCCACCGGGAUACUAGAAUCCAAAACAUGGUCAAUCAAACAUUAGACCUUAUAAACCACAUAGUUAUGACAAGACAUAUCUAAUUUCUUGCAAACUUACACAGAGUCAGUUUUUCAAGCUUGGGAAAGGUUAAAAGCAAUGUUAACAAAAUGUUCAAACCACGAUAUUCCAGAACAUAUGUAAUUGUAUAUUUUUUAUCACUGGCUAAAACCCUCUUCUAGAAAUGCGAUAGAUGCAGCUACAGGAGUUUCAGUAAUGGGAAAUAUUGCAAUUGUUGAAUGAAACUUCUGAAAAUGCCAUCCAAUAGUCAUCUGACCGGAUAAUUAUCAAGAAGGCUGAUACACUAAAUUAGGUUGAUUCUUUAAAUACACUAAUGCAGUAAAUUGUUUAUUUGCCACAAAAGUUUUAAACUUUUCAGGUGAAUACACAAAAACCAAGCCAAUCUGAGGUUUGUGACAUGUGUUGAGGAAAUUAUCAGAACCAUGAAUGUCAAUCAACCAAUCACAAUGAUGAACAUGUCAAUGUCAUCGGUUACAAACAGUAUCCUUUUUGACGUUCAAUGGCAUAAAAACAUCAAGGAUUUCAAUGCAGAAAUUCAAAUGGUGCAAAGAGCUCUCAAAGCUUCCAAUAUCAACAAAGUAUUUCAAUAGAGCAAUUCAAAUGGUGCAAAGAGCUCUCAAAGCUUCCAAAAUCAACAAAUACAGGGUCCACCAGGAUACUAGAAUCCAAAACAUGGUCAAUCAAACUUUAGACCUUAUCAACAAGUAGGGCCCUAUCAGAAAAGGCCUCAACAAGCUCAUUCAAGUCUUGAUGAUCUUCUAUAUAAGUAUAUUAAGGUCACUGAUGAAAAGAUGGAGAGCCAAAAUUCAUCCCUCAAAAAUCUAGAAAUACAGUUGAGCCAAUUGGCAGCUCUUGUUUCAGAAAAGAUUCAAGGUCCCUUACCAAGCAAUACAGAGAAAAAUCCAANNNNNNNNNNNNNNNNNNNNNNNNNNNNNNNNNNNNNNNNNNNNNNNNNNNNNNNNNNNNNNNNNNNNNNNNNAUGAAGUAUAUUAAGGUCACUGAUGAAAAGAUGGAGAGCCAAAAUUCAUCCCUCAAAAGCAUAGAAAUACAGUUGAGCCAUUGGCGGCUCUUGUUCAGAAAAGAUUCAAGGUCCCUUACCAAGAAAUACAGAGAAAAUACCAAAAGAGCACCUUAAGGCCAUCACCUUACAGUUAGGUAUGGAGCUUGAUGAACCCUAUGUAGACCAGUCAGAACAAUAGGUAAACAAUGGAAUGAAUGUUGAAAUACCCUCUGAACCAUCUGAAAAGAAUGAAGUCAAGAAAAAAGAAGAAAAAAAUAUUUAAAAUUUGACUCCUCUCCCUGUAACUAUUCCCUGUUCACAAAAAUGAAAAUAGAAAAGCUUAACAACUAAUUUGCAAUAUUUUUGGAUAUUUUAAAACGAAUUCACAUCAAUAUUCCUUUUACUGAUGCUUUGUUACAAAUGGCUUCAUAUGAAAAAAUUUUAAAGGAAAUUUUGCAAGUUAAAGAAAAUUAUAAGAAGUUUCUAUGGUAAUGCUUAUGAAAAAAUACAGUGCUAUAUCAAAUUAAGCUACCACAAAACUUGGUGAUCCGGACAGUUUUACAAUUCCAUGCACUUUGGGAGGAUUAUGUUUUGAAAAAGAACUUUGUGAUUCUGGAGCUUCAAAAAAUUUGAUGCCAUUUUCUAUCUUUAAAAAUUUAGAUCUUAGUGAUAUAAAAGACAUAAUUGAUUCUCUUCAGUUUUUAGAUCAAAGUACUAAGAAACCUAAGGAAAUAAUUGAAAAUGUACUCGUAAGAGUAUAUAAGUUUGUUUUCCCUAUAGAAUUUAUAGUGCUUGAAAUGAAAUAAUUUCCUAAUGAACCAAUAAUUUUAGGUAGACCAUUUCUUGCUAGUGGAAGAGCAAUUAUAUAUGUUCAUCAAGAAUAAUUAAUUCUAAGAUUUGUUGAAGAAAUGAUCAUCUUUGAUAUGCAAAAGAUACUAAGAUAUUAAGAAGAUUAAACAUCAUCUUCAUGUAUUUCAAUUGAUAUGAUUAGUUAUGUUAUAGAUGAAUUCAAAGAUGAUCAAUUAAUUCCAGAUUCAACGGAAAGAUACUUGAUCAAAUCAGGCACCACACAAGACGAUGAUCCCACCAUCAGAAGAGAAGAUGGAAUAUUGGACAAAGAUUUAGAGAAAAAAGAGAUGAAAUCCGAAGAAUUAUUUUCAGUAAUUAUUUCAUAUUCUCUUACUGUAGGACAAGAAAAUAGUGUGAUUAAAGUAUUGAGUGCACACAAAGGGGACUUAGGGUGGACUGUAGAAGAUAUUAAAGGGAAUGCUCUGGCUAUUUGUACACACAUAAUCCUCAUGGAGGAUAGCUACAAGCCAAUAGUCCAGCUGCAAAUAAGAUUGGAUACAGCAAUGCAGGAAGUAGUGAAAAAAGAGAUUGUAAAACUGUCGGCAACAGGUAUUAUAACGCCCAUGGGUAAGUCCCAUUCAGGUAGUACCAAAGAAAUGAGUAAUGAACAUUAUAAAAAAUAAAAAUACUGAGCUUAUACCUAUCAAGACUAUUACAGGAUGGAGAGUUUGUAUUGAUUACAAUCGUCUCAAUGAUGUCAAUAGAAAAGAUCAUUUUCCUUUGCCAUUUAAAAUCAAAUGUUGGAAAGAAUUGCAGAAUAUGGUUUUUACUGUUUUCUUGAUGGCUACUCAGGAUAUAAUCAGAUACAAGUCGCACCAGAAGAUCAAGAUAAGACAACCUUCAUAUGCCCUCAUGGAACAUAUGCCUACAGGAGAAUGCCAUUUGGUCUGCGUAACGCCCUUGCUACAUUUCAGCAUGCGGCAAUUUUUGCUAACAUGAUUUACAAAUUUCUUGAAACUUUUAUGGAUGAUUUUACACUAUUUGGCAAAACAUAUAAGGAUUUUCUUAACCACUUGACCUUAGUUCUUAAAAGAUGAGAUGAAACAAACUUAGAUCUUAAUUGGAAAAAAUAUCAUUUUAUGAUUAUAGAAGGAAUUUUUUUAGGACAUAAAAUCACUGCUAAAGGGCUAGGAGUUGAUAAGGCAAAAAUUAAUCUUAUAGUAGGAUUACCCCCUCCCACAACUGCGAAAGGAAUUAGGAGCUUUCUAGGUCAUGCAGGUUUUUUUAGAUGAUUCAUAAAAGAUUUCUCUAAAAUUUCAAAACCGCUGACUAACCUCUUGAUAAAAGACAUUAAGUUUGACUGUUCAGGUGACCGUGUGAAAGCAUUUGAAACCUUUAAGGAAACGUUAUCAAGUGCACAUGUUUUCGAUACCUUCUUUUUCUCGCGAAAUCGGGUUUAUGACAUUUGGGCGGACAACUAUUUCCCUUUUGGGAAUUGUGUUUGAAUUGAAGAGUCGUCGCCUAAUGAUUAAGUUCAUUAGGACACCAAAUAGAAUUUUUGAUUUAGAAAAUCAGAGAACGGGCAAGGGCUUAAAAUUAUCUCGAAGGGAAAGUGUUAGUCACCCCUCGAGAUCCACUAGUGUGGUUCCUGGCCAUGCUACAAUUGUGACUUUAAGGGCAAACAAUAAAUGGACAAGUAAGAGUUGCAAAAAUAGAGGGAGCUUUCACAUAAUUGGUGCAAGUGAUUCGGAGUUAAACGAAGUUAAAGAAGCUAAAAUUUGAGAAGAAGUAAUUUUAAAGUUCUGAAUAAACAAGUAAAAAAAAGGAGAUUUUUCACACAGUUGCUGCAAAUAAUUGAAGUUAAAAGAAGCUGAAAUUUGAGAAAAGCAAUUUAAAAUUCUGAAUAAUCAAGUAAAGGGGAGGAAGCUCCUAGGAUUAUAAAUAAUAUGGAUCACCCCACAAAACACACGAUAACCGUUUAUACACGUGGUGAUAUCGCUCGGUCAUCAUAUUUAUAUCUACCCUUUCCCACCCCGUUAAGGUAUUAAACAAGGAUGGUCUCAUUUUCCUAUUACAAGCUAUUAUCCGUCCUGAAUCCUACCAAACCUGGAGGUAUUUGGGACUACUUGUCCUAAAGGGAAGGGAGAUUUGUCUUUUAUAUUAUAAAAGGAGAUAAGUCUAAGGCGACAAACAAAACAUAUAAAACAUAUAUGGGAAAGCACAUAACAGUUAAAAGGCUUAAACAGGCCUCCUCACUUAAAGACGGAUUGUUUAGCAUGUCUCGCAUGUACUGGUUAUAGUCUAAUUAAACUCAGGGUUAUGGCCGAUUGAUAUAUUACAUAUUUAGGAUGAGAAGCUCCAGUCAGGCCUGCUUGCUGGUUUAAAUUGAUAGAAUCUGAUUCAAUUAACAAGUUACCUUAUGACUUGCCUAAGUGUCGAGACAGAACAUAUAGGUAUGUUAUCUAUUAAUUCAGGAAAGAAGUAUACUGAUUUUAAGGGAAAGAAAUUGUCCCUUACAGGAAUAUAAACUGUGAAGUCCUUAUUAGUACUACUGAUUUUAGACUUAUAAGUUGAUGAGUAAUAUUUGGUUGAUUACUCCUAUAGUCAUGCUUUCUAGGCAUUAGUUAAUCUUAGAACACUGUUAUUAACAUGCAAAAAUCCUAUAGGCAGGUCAUCUAAAUGUAGUUAGUUAUUAAAACCUAAGUACACAUUUGCGUAGUGAUAGAUGCAUGCAGAAUUUAGGAAGUCAUAUAGACACGUUGUCUACGUGGUAUGCAAAAAUGCAGAAACCUAUAGACAUGGUUUCUAUAUAAAUGCAGAAGUUAUAGACGUGGUUUCUAUGAAAUGCAAAAAUGCAAAAGCCUUUGGACAUGACAUCUACAUAUGAAAUGCAGAACCUAUAGACAGGAUUUCUAAAGAAUGCAGAGCUUAUGAACAGGGUUUCUAUGUGAAAAUUGCAGAAGUGAAAACAGGACAUAAUUGCAAAAGUAUAAUAAGUACCUAGUAACAUGAUGUCUAUCCCUUUACCUGCAUUAUUUGCCUUCCCCUUUUAACUAAAAACCCUAAUAGUUAUUACAAGAUUAUUACAACACAGAAUAAAAUGAGAAAAAGAAGGGAAAUUACAACAGAAAACUAAAAAUGUCCAACCAAGGAGAACCUGAUUCGGGUUUCCUGCCUGAAGCAUGUAGUAGACCAACUCAAAAGAUCCAAAUCCAAAGACUUUCUCAUUUUUUUGGGGUAUGUUAGAGUUUCAAGAGCCUCAUGGACUCCGAAUAGUGCUUACACCCAAAUUCAUUACAGAAUUGAGACAUUGUGCAGUGUGGAAGAGCGAGCCAUCAAGUGUCCAAGUUCAGAGGGAACUCAAGGUCCCAAAGCAUGGCUCACAGGAGGGGGGAAGAACUUAGAAGAUAGGAAUGAGUGUGAGUGAAAUAGAGGGGAUUCUGUGGAGAGACAAUACAGGCUAAUGGUCAUACCCAGCAAUUGCAAGUGCUGGCACACCCCAACCAGCAUGUUGGCCAUAUUGUUUGUGAGGUAGGACCCCUUAAAGGGGUCAAGUCCAGACAUGAGCAACAACUUGGAUGUUUACAUGUUCAGAACUUUAACUCAAACACAUAGAAGGGGAUAGGGGUAUAGGGAUUCACAAUGGGAACAGAUGCAAGAAAAGAAAAUGCAUAGUUAAUAUUUAACUUCACAUAAAUAGUAAGGUAGGCAUAAAUGUAAUGGUUGUAAAACACAUUGGGGUGAUGCUGAGAGUUAAAACUAGAACAUACCAGUUUCAAGGAAACAAGUAAGAAGAAAUCAAUAGUCUUGUAAAGCCAAAGUGCAAACGAGCAAUAGAAAUGCUAUUGAGAUUAGAAAAGAAUUGCAAAAUCUGGAGUGUAAAAGUAUCGAAUUGAAGGUGUCUGAAGUGCAGAAAAAUCAUGCCCUUUUAUAGUGCAGAGGAAGUAAAAAUAGGUAAGAAAAUAGUUGGAAAUCAAUUACACAAGGUUUCCCUUUAAUUAAGGGAUUCUGAUUUCGUACAGGCAAAAUAAUUAAGUAAAAGGUUCAAUCAAACACUUUUCCAAAUCAGUACAAGAGGGGUAAAUACAUAAAGGUCUAUUUAAGGAUAAGGUUUGACAGCACACGGUUUGUACAAGUAAGGAAAGGAAAUCAACCAAGAAAUCAAAAUUGCAGGCUUUCUACGAAUAAACCAGUUGAGGAAAAGUGAGGAAAGGUUUUUCUUAAGGAAAAUCAGUAACAAUCAAUCAAACCAAAAAAAUGAUUCUGAAUCAUUAAUUAGUUGGAAAGCCUUUUGAAGAAAGCUUCAACACAUAUAAAUGCAUAUAGACAUUCUUCAACAAAAAGAAAUUGUCAUGCCAAUCAGAAGAGUCUAGUAUAGAAGAGUUCAAUGUCAUAAACAAAGAGGUUCGAAUCCAGUUUAUAAACUCAAAAUGAGUCUGAGAGAGUUAAGGGCCAGAAAGCAGAACUCUGGUUCAAACACAAAAUAAACCUCAUCAAACCCCCCAAAUUCUAGGGUUUGUAGGUCGAAUCAGAUACAGAGACGAUGAAACCAAGUAAUUGAAAUAGGCUCAAAGAUUUCUUUCGAAGACUCAUGAAAAAACAAACAUAUAUAAUAGCAAAUUCGAAGCAAAUAGAGUAAAGAAACUGAUUUGAAGCAUAAUAAGAGUAGAAGGAACACAUUUUUAGAAAAGCUUGGAACAUAAACAGGUUUAGAAGAGAAAAGCAGGCCAUAUAACACUUAAGAAAAUAGUAGAGGAAACAUGUUCAAACAAAGGUAUAGUGAAAGGUAAACAAAGAAUUUAAAAACUUAGUAGGAACACAGAGAUGUAGGAAAAACCUAGGAAAGAACACAUAAGGAAACAUAGAAAGAUAAACAUGUGAGACAAUGGCAUAGAAACAUAGUAGAAGAACGAACGGGGCACAGUAGAAGAACAUGCUAACAUAAGAACAUAGUAGAAGAUCAUGCAAGGUAGAAAAGAAAAUAUAAGAAUAUAGCAUAGACAGAUAUCCACAAUGAAAAGAAGAUGAAGAGUCAGAGAAACAUCUUGAAACCAUCGGAAACCCUAAAUCGAAGAGGAGUAAUUAUUUAAAGUAAAAUUGGGGAAAAUGUUUUAAAACUCUAGUAGAGCACAGAUAUAGAACAUAGCAUAGACAGAUACCCACAAAGAAAAGAAUAAAAAGACUCACAGAAACAUCUUGGGAGUUGCAGAAACCCUAAAUCGAAGAGAAGUAAUUUUUGAAACAAAAAUUGGAGAAAAUGUCUUAAAAAUCCAGUAUAGCACAUACAUAGACUUGAUUUAAGAAGACAAUUAGAGGAACCUAGAAUAGCUAGGGUUUCAAAGGAACCCUAGAAUGAGAAAGGCUUGAAAAAAGGUCCAAUCUUGAGUCGGAUGAGUCAGAACCAAGUUUGAAACGCUUUGGAUAUGCCGGAGUAAGGCUAGAGAGGCCAUGGAAAGACGAUCUGAAUGGACACCAUCGAGGUCAGACCUCGAAACUUUGAGCUCCAAGCGUUCAAGAGCAGAGGGAGGUGAGUGUAGGCCAUCCAUGGCCUGAGAAGCCAUAGAUUCCGGUGAGAUGGCGAUUGAAAGUGGUAGAAGAGGAUUACGGCUUCAAGAACAUUCGAGAGAGUCUGAGAGACCAAGGAUUUUUAGGGCGGCAUCUCUAAGUGAAAUGAGUAGGGUUUUGGGGUUUGGUGGAAUUAAAAAGGCAAAGGCCAACCGUGGCCGUUGAAAUGAAUAUCCUCUAGCAAUUUGGACGCUUCCCUUGCAUCGACACACUUUAGUAAUCCAAAAUAUGGAAUACUCCUAUACAGGAUUCCUCUGCUAUGAAAGAAAUUGUUAGAAAUUCUCCGAAGUGUGCGCUUCUGAGUAGCAUUUUUGAGCUCGAGGUAUUCUCCUUUUGUUAAAUAUUCCUUGAUAUCAUGAAACCAAGGUUUUUCGUCUGCUUCUUCCUCGACAUGAGCACGAUAAGCUGGCUGGCCAUAGAUCUUCAUGGGAAUAGGAUUAAUGAAAUUCUUAUCUGGAUGUUGUAUCAUAGUGGCCAGGGUAUCCAGUGCAUCGGCGAACUCAUUCUAGACUUUUGGAACAUGUUGGAAUUCCGUCUUUGUGAACCUCUUUCUCAACUCAUGUACAUGAUGUAGGUAUGGAAGUAUUUUGAUGUUCUUGGUUGCCUAUUCUUCUCGAACCUGAUGUAUAAGUAAGUUUGGAUUUCCAAUCCCUAGCAACUCUUGGUUGUUCAUGUCAAUGGCCUUCUUGAGCCCUAAGAUGCAGGUUUCGUACUUGGCCAUAUUGUUAGUGUAAGGGAAGCAGAGCUUGGUGGAUACCGGAUAAUGCUGGCCGAUUUCUGACACUAGGACAUCCAUUAAAAUGUGUUACUCCGUCGAAAAACAUCCUCCAACCAUCAUAGAAUUCUGCAAUGUCUUCUCUUACAAAUGAUACUUCCUUAUCAGGAAAAUACGUCUUCGGGGUUCGUAUUCUCCGUCCACAUGAUUUUCUGCAAGGUGAUUUGCUAGUGAUUGUCCCUUGUAUGUCUUUUGAGUCACAUAGACAAUGUCAAAUUCACUCAACAGGAUUUGCCACUUUUCUAGCUUGCCAGUGGGCAUGGGCUUCUGGAAGAUGUACUUCAAAGGACUCAUUCCUUGAUAUAAGAUAUGUAGUAUAAGCACAUAAAUAGUGCCUCGACUUCUGAGAUACCCAAGUCAGAGCUCAACAGGUGCGUUCCAACAGAGAAUUUCGGGACUUGUUCCUCCUCGUUUCAUCGUGUUUCCCUAGAACACAUUCUAAUGAUCCAUCCAAUGCUGUAAGGUAGAGUAUUAGGGGUCUACCUGGCUCGGGCGGGACCAAAACUUGCGGUGUUGACAAGUACUCAUUGAUUCUAUCGAAGGCCUUUUGGUAGUUAUCGGUCUAUUUUGUAGCAGCGUUCUUCUUCAACUUCUUAAAUACUAGCUCACAUAUGGCAGUAGAUUGUGUAAUGAACCGUCUAAUGUAGCUAAGACUCCCCAAGAAACUCAUUACUUCUUUCUUGUUCUUUGGCGAAGUCAAUUCUUGAAUAGCUUUGACCUUCGAUGGAUGCAAUUCUAUCCCUCGGUGACUCACGAAGAACCCAGCCAAUUUUCUAGCUAGAACACGAAAUGCACAUUUUGCGGGAUUCAAUUUCAGGUUGUACCUUCUCAGCCUAUUGAACAAAUUCCUCACAUCUACCAUGUGAUCAGUGGCUUUCUUGGACUUGAUGACGACGUUGUCUAUAUACCUUUCGAUCCCCUUAUGUAUCAUGUCAUGGAAAAUGGUAGUCAUGGCCCUCAUGUAAAUGGCCUCCACAUUAGUUAACCCAAACGGCAUCAUCUUGUAGCUAUACAUCCCCCACGGCAUGAUGAAAAGUUGUUUUCUCAGCAUCUUCUUCAUUCAUCCAUAUCUGAUGGUACCCAGCAAAACAAUCAACAAAUGACUACAGCUCAUGCUUGGCGAAGUUAUCAAUCAAGAUGUGUAUAUUCAGCAAGGGGAAGUCGUCUUUUGGACUAGCCCGGUUGAGAGCCCCAUAGUCAACACAAGCUAGACCUUCCCAUCCUUCUUUGGUACUGGCAUAAUGUUGGCUAACCAUGUCAAAUACUCUUCUACCUUGAGAACCUUAGCUUUGACCUGCUUAGUGACCUCUUCCUUGAUUUUCAAACUCAUAUCUUGCUUUAAGUUUCUAAGUUUUUGUUUUACUAGCGGAUAGGCUGGGUCAGUUGGAAAUUUAUGAGCCACAAUGGAGGUGCUCAAACCAGCCAUGUCAUCGUACGACCAGGCGAAUAUGUCUUCAUACUCUCUCAGAAAUUCUGUGUACUUUUCCUUUUUUGAUGGUGACAGGUGAACGAAGAUUCGUGUUCCUUUGAUGUUUUUUGCAUUUCCCAAGUUAACAAUCUCAGUGUCGUCCAAGUUGGACUUAGGUAUGUUCUCAACAUUCUCAACUUUCUCUUAAUCUCUUAUGGUAUAUCAUUUUCCUCUAAGUCUAUGUCCGCUUAUUGCGUUGUCUCAUUGCACGUCAUAGUCAUUGGUUCAUGAAGAUAAGUAAUAGUAUUGAUGUAUAAGUAAAGUAAUGAGAAAAAAUAAUAAGAGUAAGGUUUAUAAGAAAACAUAAACGAUUUGAUAGAUUCCAUAAAUUUUUUGAACAUUGGAGCUUUUUCUUGCAAAAAUAAAAAUGCAAAGCGAAAGUAAACUAAUAAAGUAAAGUAGUGCAUGGUGCUUGUUCAGCCUUGCUACACCGAGGCUUGCCGUGUUCUGAUGGUUCUGAUAGUCUAGUUAUUGAGGCGUUCUCCUCCGCUUACAUCCUAUAUAGAAGGGACUUCCUCCCCAUCCUCCUCGAAAAUGACAUAACAAUCCAUGUUAUCGUCUUCUAGGAACAAAUUCAUCAUCACUGCUAAUGCUUCCUCUUCUUCCGACCCGUAGAUAACUUUGGCCGGUUGGAAGGUCUGCUCUUAAUGGGGUAUCUGCUACUCCAAUAGGUAGUAAAGAUCAUGCAAUGGAGGCGACAGUGGUUGAAUUCAUCCCAAGUGUACUCAUACCCCAAUUCGAAGAUGGUGAUGUGUUUCUUGAACUUGAUGGGCUUAACGAUUCCUUAAAGAUUCUUGCCGAGUCCUUUGCCAGGCUCAUACCCGCUCCAGUUCCGUAUGCUUUUAAUUUAGUUGUACUACCAAUUACCCCUAUCUUCUUCUUCCUCUAAUCGCUAGGAUGGUCUGGCGACUAUAUAUGGGAUUGCUACCGUCACCAUGAAUGACUACCUCCUAGUGAUUCCAUUCAAACUUUACUACCUAAUGUAGUAUGGAUGCCACGGUCCAUCGGUAUGAAUCCAUGGUCAUCCCAACAUCAGAUUCUAAGAUGUCGGCACGUCUAUCACUUGAAAAUCAACAUCAAAACAAGUAGGCCCCAUUUGCAAACAUAUGCUAAUUUCUCCAAUAGUAGACCUUUGAGACCCGUCGAAAGCCUUAAUGUUGAUGGCCCUGUCCUUGAUUUCAUGCUUCCUUUUCCCCAAUGUCUUGAGUGUCACCAGAAGACAUAUGUUGAGACUGGACCCCCAAUCGACUAGGAUCUGGGUGAUAAAAUAAUACUAGCACUACAUGGUGAUGUGCAAUGCCUUAUUGUGACUCAAUCCCUCCGAUGGCAACUCAUCUUCAUGGAAAGUGAUUUUGUGACUCUCCAAUACCUGCCCUAUCAUGUUUUUCAUUUCUCCUCUGGUGAUGUUUCUUGGUACAUAUGCCUCAUUCCACACUCCUAACAAGGCAUUCUUGUGUGCAUCAGAACUCUAUAGCAAAGCAAGGAUAGAAAUUUGCACCGGUGUUUUGUUCAGCUAAUCAAUGAGUGAGUAUUCCUUCGCUUGUAUUUUUCUCCAGAGAUCAUCAGGCCUAGUUUCGAUGAUGGUUUGUCGACCAAAGGUCUUCUUACUUGACUCAUCCAAGUAUCGUGGAGUGUAAACCCUGCCGGUCCUGGUCAUACCCUGUGCUGCAAUUGCUUCUCAGAACUUGGCUUUCCCUUUCCUUCUUGCCUCAGCUGUGUAGUCCCAUAGUACGCCUUUUGUGUGGAAUAUUGUAAUGGAUUUCAUUGAUACCGGAAUGGGCACCCUUGAUUUGGAAGGUAAUACAGCAACUUCAAAUGGUACAGGCGCCUUUGGGGACCCAAAAUCAACCUCAAUUGGUGUUGGCGCUUUUGCAGAAGCCGGUGUUUCAAACUCAAGUGGUAUGGACAUGUUCAUCUCGGCAUCUUCAGAAGGCUGAAUUCCGACUACAAUUGGAUUAAGGGUGAUUGUUGGUUUCUUUGGAUCGUCGACUUCUGUGAUCAAACUGAUUAAUCCUUUGGGAUCCCAAUCAUCCUCUAUUUCAAUCAAAGAACGCCUCCACCUUUGUGGUAUUCUAGAGGGUUAUUGCAGACAAUUAGGGCUGGUACCUUUGCCACAAUGAUCUUGUUGUCAAUCAAAGCCUGGAUCUUAUCCUUCAGGCAGCGACAUUCAUCAAUGGUGUGCCUUUUAUGCUAGAAUGGUAUGCGUAGGUUUUAUUUGGAUUGACCUAUUAAGAAGGGUUUUCAAGGGUUAUAGCAGGGAUAGAGGUGACAUAACCAGCAUCUCUGAGUCUUUCAUGCAGCUGGUCGAUUGGUUCAGCAAUGGAGGUAUAGUGUUUAGGAGGUCUGCGUUCAAAAUUUGUCAAGGUCUAAAAAAAUUUUAAUCAGAGGGAGAUGAUUGAUAAUGUGAUUGUUGAGUGUUGUAGGUUUGGUGGACAUGUGCAAGCUGAGAAUAUCAGAGUAAAGUAGGUUGGUAUGUAGGAGGUGGAGGCGAUUAAUAGGUAGGCGGUGGAGUUUGGUAGGAAGGUGCGGGUGUUUGAAAACUUGGAGUGGGCUCAUAUGUAAGUGGAGGUAUUGGGUAAGAUUGGUAUUUGACAGGUGAUUUGGUUCUUUGUGCAACCAUUACGACACCUACGUCCCUCUUCCUGGACGUACCGCCAGACUGUAGGGCCUUGUUGGUGUCUUGUAAAGCUUCAAAGUUCAUAACUAUACCACUUUUGAUACCUUCCUCAGUCCUUCAUCCUAUCUUGAUAAUGUUAGAGAAUUUGUGUUUUUCGAUCAACAUCAGCCUUUCAUGGUAUUGCGAAUCCUGAGCUCGGACGAAGAACUUGUUCAUUUGUUCCUCCCAUAAAGCAGGUAGGACCUUAGCAACCUCUGAUCUCCAAUGAGUGGCAUACUCACGGAAUGUUUCUAUAGGUUUUUUCUUUAAAUUCUGAAUUUUAAACACACCCGUUGUGUUUUCCAUAUUGAAUCUGAAUCUGUCUAUGAAGUCGGUCGCCAUACCAACACAAUUCGACCACUUCUUUGGGUCUAGGCUAAUGUACCAAGACUGAGCUUCUUCUUUCACGCUCCUCAUGAAAAGCUUCAUGCAGAUCUUUUCAUAUUUUCCUACUCCGACCAGCUUGUCACAGUAUUUCCUCAAGUGAACCCUGAGGUCCCCUGUACCAUCAAUUAUUUUGAACUUUGGAGGUUUGUACCCCUCGGUUAGUUUGACAUCGGGCUGUAUGCAUAGAUUAACAUAGUAUAGCCCAUCAAUUUCCUUACUUCCUUCAACGCCUUGAAUUUUGGUGGUCAACUUCUUUAAUUCUUCGGCCAGAUUUCUGAUAAGCAAGCCCUUAUCAUCGGACUCGGUUGUGCUUGAGAGGGUGGAGUGUGGGACGGUUUCCACGUAGAUGAGGGUGUUGUGUUUGGUUUAGCAGUUGUCAUUUGUGGAGUUCAAAGGUUCCAGGAUGAGUAAUGGAGUAUUGUUGGGAGUAUGGAAAGCAUUGCAGUGAGGGCGGGGAGCAUGAUGGUUUUGUUUCUUUGGGACGUUUUAUGAAGGUACGGGAUUUUGAGUACUUGGGAAAUUAACCUUUGGAGUGGAAAUGGAAAAUGACAGACCUGCCAAACUUUGGACUUGAUCUAGUUCUUCCUGAAAUCUCGACAACUUUUGUUCAAGUUAGGACGCGCUUUUUUUGGAAACUUGAGUACCCUGAGUGAUCUCUGCCCGUUCAACUAAGCUUUCCUUUCUCAAUUCUUCCAUAUUUCCCUUAUUCCUAUUUCAAAUAGGAGUAAGAGGAGGAAUGGAUGGAGGGCCCUUGGAUCUUGUGGAAUAUGAUAACGAUGGCAGAGUGCACAAACUAAAAUUUGGAAGAGGGGAGGGGGGGGGGCUAAAACAAAAAGGUAACAAGUUAGUGAGGAUUAUAAGAUGAGAUGUUGCGAUAUUUAAACACAUAGUGCAGGAAUGUAAAUUGUGUCCUAAAUUAGGAGCCUCGUUGUGCCCGAGGUAGGCCUAGAGACAAAUUGAUUUAGAGAACUUAUAAUGCUAAAUGCCUUAUCUUAUUGAUAGAAACAAAGAUGAAUCCUAAACGACACUAAUUAACAGGAAAUAAAAUGUCACUUAUGGCCAUUUAGUGAACGAAAAGGUAAAAUCCUAUCUACUUAGUCCCAUAAGGACCUUCACCAGACUCGGCAUCUUUGGCUCUGUCGAACAGUUGUACCAGCUCACGAAGUCCCAUCAGUAAGUACGCUCUCGCGAGGUUCCCAUCUUUAUUUCUCUUUGCAUUCUAGCAGUCCUCGACCCUUCUGACGAAUUUCCUUUCCAGCUCUAAUCCCCGCAAAAGUACCCCAGUCGCUUGUUGAUGCUGACAGCAAGGUCUUUUCAUUCUUCAAUCAAUUUUUGGUUGGCUUCUUGAACUUCACGGUGCUCAAUUUAACACUACCAAAUCCUUUUGCGCAAUUGGAUGUACUUGACCUGUGCUUCAGCCCUUUUAUGGAUGAUCCUUGACCUCGAGAAAACUCGGGUUGACCCAGACCAUUAUGAUUGUCUCCUAACCAACUGGGAUAGUAUGGAGUAUAACCGGCAUGGUACUUGUCUCGCUCAAUAUUAUAUCUUCCCAUGACGAUUUUGCAGUGCCACAUAUGCUGAGAUUAGCACUUGUGAGGGAUAUCAUUGUCAUGAAAUUCGGCCCGAAAGUGACUUAUUUUAUCAACCCUUGGUACAACCUGCUUCCUGCCAGCCCUUCUCAUAACUCACAGAGGGACAUAAAGAUAUGUUCCUCUCAAACCAAUAAGCAUUAGGAAUGGUGCAUUCCCGUGAUCGACCAAUAAAAUCUUCAGUAGGGAACAAUUUGAACAUCCAUUGUACUUGGUCCUCUUUAAGAUUUUCAAAUAGUUCAACCCAUCCUUUGGCAUCUCCCGGCUGAGCAAACAUGUUGGGCAUAUAGUUCAUCCUUCUUGGUUGGUGGAAGACUAUAUGAUCAUCCCAGUCCCUAUGCUGAAUCUCCUAUCUAUAUUCACCCUUUUUGAGGUUCUCGCUAAGCCAGAGUUUGAGUAGCAAGUUGUCACCCUCGAAGUGUUUGGCUCCCUGUUGACAUUUCUCCAAGGCUCGGUAUAUUUUCAAUGAUCAUGCGCACCAUGCUAAAUGGUUGCCCACAAUUUCCCUUCAUUAAGGUUUUGGUGACCAGGCUAGCCGGUAUGGAUCCUUACUUUCUUCAUCAGAAACACUAUCAUCCCCAAGAAAUAGAGCAUGAAGACAAAUACCCUUCGAUGAAUAUGCCCCAAUGUAAGGGCGAACUUGUCCGGAUAAGUACAGUAAGAUUUGCUAUGACCGUACCUCUCAUAAAAGUAAUCAAAGGGAAUAUACGACUCUUUCAAACAUGUUAAGUCUGGAUUCUUCUUUAGACCUAUCAUUUUGACAAAACCUCUACCCUUGCAAUUUUUAGGCAUUAACAGACCCGAAGUUUCCCAUAGUAUACUAGCCUGUCCUCCUAAUUCCUCUAGCAAGUGUGUCACCUCACCUAUCACAAUCUUAGAACAGGGUAGCAGCUUCAAUAGUUGUUGGGUUAGAAUUCCAAAAGGGAAGGUAAAUUCCCCAAGUAUUUUAGGACGAGAGUCUGAUCACUGGAAUGAAGAUCUUCCCACCAGUUUAGCAAUUUUUUAUAGUUACUGGUGACUAUUAAUAAUAGGUUAAGUCUAGGUGAUUUUGAGAUUGUUUACACUUCCGCUUGAUUAUGUUUUCAUGUCAUAAUAUAGUUAAAAGAUGAAAAAUAGGCUCUAAUUGUGAAUUGUAUACAUUGCAAGAUGAGGAACCUACGUGAUGCCUUAACGUUGUGAUUGGAAUUAUUUUGGAGCAAGAAAGACCCUUCAGAGCUAAGUGCGCACAAAGACGAGGAAAAGAAUCGAGGAAACAAGGGACUGGGCUAGCACGCCCAACACAGAAUGUUGUCCAACUAGCGCGGCCAGAUGUGCUCCCAGCUGUGCGACCAUGCUAGUCCAAAUAUCAGAAAGCUUUGUUCAGAUGUAUAAAUGAAAAUCUGGAGGAUAGCCCACUUAACCUAUAUAAAAUCAAUCUCGCUCAAGGAUUACUUAUCAAGGUUUUCAUAGUCUAGAGUAGGAAAGGGAGAGGCAAGAGGAGGACGACGUUUUUGAGAGGAAAACACAAACACAGAGCCGCCGAAAGGGCCGCUUUCAUCUUUUCUUCCUCCAAACUUAGUAAUUUUUAUGUUUCUUUGUAUGAUUUGUUGUUCUGCUUACAUGUAAACUUCACAUUCUAGGGUUGUGGUUCUUUCAUGACUAUUAUUAUUCGGAUAUUGAUUUUUAUUGCUUAGUUUAUCAUAUUGAUUUAUUUAUUCAAUCCCGCACUUAAUUAUUUGAUUGCUUGAUUACCAAUUGAAUACUAUCUACGAAUCUUCAAUUGAACUUGAAAGUAGGCACCGAGAAACAAAUUAGUGGUUAGGAUAGACAUAUCCCUAAUUGCCUUGCUUGGUUGAUUUACAGGAAUUAUAAAUGUGUUCUUGUUGAUUUUAACUCCAUAGACAUAUAGGCGUUAUGUUAGCUUGAAUAGGCAAGUAAGAACUCGACUGAUUCUUAUGAGCAACAUUAACCCUGUCAACCAAUAAACUAGAUAAAUUAGUUAGUUAAUUCAAUAGAAGAAGGUUAGCUUGAAUUGGCGAGUAAGAAAUUUACAGAUUCUUAUGAGUAAUUUUAACCCUGUCAACCAAUAAACUAGAUAAAUUAGUUAGUCAAUUCAAUUGAAGAAUACAAUAGGAAUGUUAGAUAGCCCAUAACCCUAGAUCGUUUUCAUUACAUUAAUAUCAUAAAAAUCUGCUCUUUCUCUGUCCAAAGUUUAUUAUUUGUUUUUAUUUAUUUUAAGUAGUUUAGAAUCAAAUACUUCUAGGUUUAAUUCUUGUAUAGAAAAUUAGGAUCUUUAAUUCAGUUAAUAGUUAAUCACAAGUCCUCGUGGGAUCGAUAUCUGGCUGUUAGUCACGUUAUAACUUAACGACCGCGUAUACUUACGUGUGCAUUUGAUCGCAACAUGCUUUUGGCACUGUUGUCGGGGACUUAGAAAUUAGCUGUUUUACUAGAUUAGAUUUUUACUUUUUGCCAAUUCAAGUUUGUAAUUUUUUUAAUCUUAGUUUAAUAUUUUAUAAUCUGUGUUAACAUGGCAUCUUGGAAUAAGAAUUGGUCAAAUAUUGGAUAUUCUUAUUAUGAUGAUCCUUGUCCAUAUUAUGGAGGACCUCACUGAUGGAAAAAUUGUCAGCAUGUUUCAGGGAGCAAGUUGUCCGCACAAUCUCAAUCCGUUAAGUGGAAUAUUUCUAAUAUAUGUGGUGCUCAAGGUGGCCAUUGGGAUGCUUGUCCUAAUUCUUAUUAUCCUUCUCAGAGUUCUAUUAUAAUAUUUCUAAUAAUGUUUAUGACUUUGAUAGGAGCAAGGAAGUGGAGGAUAUGAAAAGUAUGGCUCGUAUUAUGGACAUGAUGAUGCAAUUAGUCGAACAACAAGAUGAACUUUGAAAGGCUGCACAAAUAAUUAGUGCAGCAAUCAUGAGAAGGAAGGCCGAUGCGGAGGAAGCGGCUGAAGAGAGCGAGUUCCCACCAGAAGAUAAUUUAGAAGAAGUGGACAUAGUGAGCCAAUCUUGGCUAGAGGAACAAGCUCAACUGAUAAAAUCUCAUGACUUUCUACGUGAUGGUCGUUCAAAUAUGAUAGAAAAACUAAUAGAAGGAAGAAUUGAGCUCAGGAAAGAGAUAAACCAACGUGGCUUAGAUAUCCAUGACAUGCACGAUCAAUUGAAUAAAAAGGUUGAGGUGUCUGAUGCCCUACAACCAUUUUUUGUGGAUACUGGCCAGCUUGAGGAGAGGAAAAAGGAACUGCAACUAUUCGACCAAAAUAUUAUUAAUGAUGCCAAGGUUGACAAAGAGUGCAAAAUUGAGGAUGUAAAAAAUAAUGCAAUUUUGGAGUUAGAGCGUAUUGGAUCUCAUUCUAAAUACUUUUUAACAUUGUAUUUGGUUGGUGACACGAGAAUUGAUAUAGUUGAGCAUAUGGACGAGUCAAUGAAUGAGGAACAAUUUGAACAUUGUUUUGUGCUGGUGACAUUGAAAUUGAUCCUUUCGAGCAUAUGGAGGAUUCAAUAGAUGAGGAACAAAGUGUUUAUAUUCUUAAAUUUGCCACACUAAGGAAACAAAACGACAUUCCUCACUUAAAGGCUAUGAAGUGAAAGAUGCGAUACAUGUUACUUGGUUUCUUUAUUUUUACACAACCGCCCUAGGAACGUGAUACAAAGGAUGAUGAAAAUUGGGGGCGCAAUUUAUAUCCAAAAAGUGGAAGGAAAAGUAAUAAAAGUGUUGGCAUUGUGCCGCAACGUUAAAUCAAGCGCUUGUUGGGAGGUAACCCAAUUCUAUUUUUUUUAUUUUUUAUUGUGCUUAAUUUAUUUUAUUGUGUUAUUUUUCAUAGUGUUGCUUUUGUGUUUUGUAGGAGUUGGAGCAUGGAGUCAUAGCCAAUAGGCAUGUGUAAAAGCGAGCAACUGGUUGAAACUAAGUGUGAGGUACCCGCAUAAAGAAUCAUACCUGGAAAAAGUCUGAGUAUCCCGUGAGCUGCUAAUUCUUCGGCCUUUAGCCUACCAUGGAGUUUCUUUUACCCUCUUGUUAUGUUCGGUGUGCAUUGAGGACAUUGCACAAUUUUAAGUGUGGGGUGGGGAGAUUGUCUGGGGGAUUUUAUGUGAUAUCUUAGUUUUGUUGUCUGGGUGAAAAUAUGUAGACUCUUCCUGAUGUUGGAUCCUUUAGACAAUUUUCUCGAGGGAAGUUAGUCUAGAGAAAACACCAAAAAGUUUUUUUUUUCUUAGGUAGUGUAGCAACUCCCCUUUGGUUUUUCCUUAGGCCAUGGUUCUUUUCAAAGGGUUUAACUUGAACUGGGUAUAGGUAGUUUUUUUUAAUUUAUUUUCUUAUUUUAUUUUUGAUUUGUAGAUUCCGUUUAAUGGGCUACGAGCUAGAAAAUCAAAAGGUAACCCAUAGCAUUGACACACCUGAACACAAUAGACCCUAGAGUGUAACGCUUAGUCUUAUUUGUUGAAUCUCAAUAAAGUGCCUUAAUCUCUAUGUUUUUUACUAAAUUGAAUGCUCAUAAAGGGCGUCUUGAUAAGCUGAUUUGGAAUGAGUCAUAUGCCAUGUGUGGUGAAGCUUUAGUAUAGUCCAUGUAUUGUACUUGUGUCUAGAACUUGCCCGGUAUGUGAGUCGAAGCGAAACUUUAGGUGAUUCCCGGUCUGAAAAAUGAUUUUAGGCUUUCUUUGAUCUUUUUUGAGCUUUAUUACUUAUCAAAAAUAAAAUUUAUCCCUAGUUUACCCUUUUGAGCCUAUAGACUUUUAUUGUGUACUCACAUUACAAGCCUAUAGCUUUUUUGUUCUUAUUUGACAUUAUUUUGAUCCCUUUCCUCUUAAAGCACUUUAAUCGUGAGAUGAGCGCUAAAAGAAGUAAGAAGGAACUAAGUGUGGGGUGGCUUUUGGGUAGCACCAAUGAAAGAAAGAAGGGUGCACUUGAUAUGUAAACUAAUACACCAAUAUUGAAAUAUAUAUAGAAGAAAGAGAUGAAAAAUUUAUAUCUUGUUCCAGCUAGUAGGUAUGAAUUAAUAUAGUGCUUAAAGAAGAAGGGAGCAUUUUUGGGGUGAUAUUAUUGGUGAAAUUAAAUUGAAGAAAUUACGCUUAAAGUUUAUUAUGUGAUGUGUUGAAGUGCUUAGGAGGGUAAACCAUUAUUCCCAAAUAUAUCCUACCCGUCCCUUAGCCCAUUUUACAAUCAUGAAAAAGACCUAAUUUGAUUUUAGAUCGAGUGAGCCCACAUUAGUAGAGAUUUACAUGAAGGAAAAUAUUAUGGUACCAAUUGCAUGUAUGUGACUUCUGUUGUGAGUGUGAGUGAUUCUCUUUGAUAUAUGUGAGCAUGAAAUGCAAAUGUGUGGAUUGAUUGUGAGGUCAUGUGAUUCGUGAAGGAAAGUCAAGUAUUGACUUCUGUGUAUAGUAUCUUGAGGAAGUAUGAAUACUACAUGGCACUUGAGAAUCGACUUGUGAGGCCAGGAUUGUUCAUUGCUAGGCGUAAUGUAUGUAAUAUUUUUCUAGGUGUAAUGCGUUAGGAGAAAUAGUUGAGUGAAGGAACCGCUAGAAAGUAUAAUGUGAUUGCUCGAGGACGAGCAAUGAAUUAAGUGUGGGGUUUUGAUAAUAGGCUAAGUCUAGGUGAUUUUGCAAUUAUUUAUACUCACUCUUGAUUAUGUUUUCAUGUCAUAAUAUGUUUAAAUGAUGAAAAGUCUCUAAUUGUGAAUUGUAUACAUUGCUGGAUGAGGAGCCUAUGUGACGUCUUAACGUUGUGAUUAGAAUUAUUUUGGAGCAAGAAAGACCCUUCGGAGCUGAGUACGCACGAUGACGUGGAAAAGAAUCAAGGAAACAAGGGACUGGGCUGGCGCUCCCAGAUGCGCGCCAGCGCUACUUUUAGCAUGCCCAACAUAGAACCUUGUCCAACUAGCGCGGCCAGAUGCCCGCCCAGGUGCGGACCGCGCUAGUCCAAAUUUCGGAAAGCUUUGUUCAGGGGUAUAAUUGGAAAUUUGGAGGAAACAACACUUAACCUAUAUAAAGUCAAGCUCGCCCAAGGAUUAUUUAUCAAGGUUUUCAUAGUCUAGAGUAGGAAAGGGAGAGACGAGAGGAGGACGUUUUUGAAAGGAAAACACAAGAACAGGGCCACCGUGAAAGCUGUGUUUCAUCUUUUCUUCCUCCAAACUUAGUAAUUUUUAUGUUUCUUUGUAAUAUAUUUUUUUACUUCCAUGUCUAUGUGGAGCUAAACUUCACGUUCUAGGGUUGUAGUUCUUUCAUGACUAUUAUUAUUCGGAUAUUGAUUUUGAUUGCUUAGUUAAUCAUAUUGGUUAUUUAUUCAAUCCUGCACUUAAUUAUUUGAUUGCUUGAUCACCAAUUGAGUACUAUCUACGAAUCUUGAAUUGAACUCGAAAGUGGUAAUUCUAGAUUGCAUAUAGGAUUGAGUACUGGGCAUCGGGGAACGGAUUAGAGAUUAGGAUAGACAUAUACCUAAGUGCCUUGCUUCAUUAAGUUGCACGAAUUAUAAAUGUGUUCUUGUUGAUUCUAACUCCAUAGACAUAUAUGCAAUAGGUUAUCUUGAAUAGGGAGUAAGAACUCGACAGAUUCUUAUGAGCAUUAUUUACCCUAUCAACCAAUAAACUAGAUAAAUUAGUUAGUCAAUUCAAUUAAAGAAUACAAUAGGAAUGUUAGAUAGCCCAUAACUCUAAAUCGUUUUCAUUACAUUGAUACCAGAAAAAUCUGCUCUUUCUCUGUCCAAAGUUCAUUAUUUACUUUUAUUUUGUUUUAAGUAGUUUAGAAUCAAAUACUUCUAGUUUUAAUUCUUGUAUAGAUAAUUAGGGUAGUCUAAUUUAGUUAGUAGUUAAUGACAAGUCCUCGUGGGAUCGACAUCCGACUAUUAGUCACUUUAUUACUUGACGAACGCGUUUACUUGCGUGUGCGUUUGAUCGCAACAAGCUUUUCCCAUGCCGAGUCUGGGAACUUCGUGCCUCAUUUUCUGCAAGACAAAAGUGUUAGGCCCUUACCCCUACAAGACUCUACUAUUAAAUAUCAAUAAUUGGCAUAAAAGCAUUUAGUUCUCCAAAUAAAUGCACAGAACGUGAUAGUGUCUGUUUGGGUUUCAAGGAAACCUAGUGGACUUUUGACAAGGGAAUCAUAAAAAGUCAUUAUGCAGACAACAUAACUGACUCAGCUAGCUUUUGACAGUGAUACAUGCACAAUUAGACAAAGUAGGGCUUCUAUGGGGUAUUAGAACAGUACCCUUGAGCGGAAAACUCAAGAGGGAAAGGCAAAGAACCGUCGACUACACUGUUGAUCGAUUGGUUUUACCGCAAAUAUGCCUUUGCUGGAUUUAGGGGGUUAUAAUCUCGGAAGGGCGCAACCACUCAUUAUAAGUGUUGCUAGGUAUUUUGUUUGGCACAAGUAUAAUAUGAUGUAGAAUAUACAACAACUAAUAAGUUGUUACAUAUUCGCACGUUCAUAAAGUACUAAUUACAACAGUUUCUCAUAAUUUACCACAAUAUUAAAGGAAAGGGAUAAAGGAAAUCAUUAAGAGAAAUAACGAAAAUAAAAAAAGAGCCAGGUCAGUUCCAAGGUUGAAGAGAAAAGUACUUAAAGCCAUUUAAACAAACAAAGAUAUAUAAAGAAGCAUAAAGUCACAAAUAGCAUGAAAUGGUAAAAGCUUUAACGAAAACCCCAAUAGAGUCGCCAUGCUAUCGAUACCCCAUUUUUCUCAAGAAAUCAGAUUUAUGACAUUUAAGUGGACAACUCUUACCCUUUUGGAAGUUGGGUUUGAAUUGAAGAGUCGCCACCUAAUGAUUAAGUGCAUUAGGACACUAAAAAGAUUUUUUGAUUUAGAAAACUAGAGAACGGGUAAGUUCUUGAAAUUAUCUCAAAUGGAAGGUGUUAGACACCCCUCGAGAUAUGCUAGUGUGGUUCCCGGCCACGCUACAAUUAUGACUAUAAGGGAAAACAACAAAUGGACAAGUAAGAGUUGCAAAUAUAGAGGAAGUUUUCACAUAAUUGUUGCAAGCGAUUUGGAGUUAAAAAGAAGUUAAAGAAGAUGAAAUUUGAGAAGAAGUAUUUUAAAGUUCUGAAUAAACGAGUAAAAACAGGUGAUUUUUCACACAGUUGCUUCAAAUAAUUGAGGUUAAAAGCAGCUGAAGAAGCUAAAAUUUGAGGAAAACGUUUUGAAAUUAAGAAUAAUCAAGUAAAGGGGAGGAAGGUUCUAGGUUUACAAAUAAUAUGGAUCACCCCACACAACACUCGUUAACCCUUUAUACACGUGGUGUUAUCGCAUGGUCAUCAUAUCCAUAUCUAUCCUUUCCCGUACCGUUAAGGUAUUAAACGCGGAAUGGUCUCAUUUUCCUAUUACAUGCUACUAUCUGUCCUGAAUCCUAUCAGCCCCAGCAAGUUUAUCGAGGGUCCUAUACCACCCAUCAGAUCUAGCAUGGCUCUAGAGUUGGAGAUUGAUAUUCCUUAUCAACAGGUAGUGAGCAUUUCUAGGAGGAUCGAGAGUAUGCUCGCUAGGGGGCGGGUGGAGAAAGAGGCCAAGAGGUCUCGAGAGUCGGGACACUACUCUGGUGCCCGUACCCCAGCAGCAGGUCAACAUGGUAGAGGUUUUGUGGAUUGCACCGUUCAUUCAGCUCUUCCAGCAGCCAUCAGUACUCCAUCUCCGCCUAUACCUCAGGAGCCUUACCAUGCACCUCCAAUUUCUAGCGCGCCUCCUGCGCGGGGUUUUUCCAGAGGUCAGUGCAGCAGACCUAGCCCUAGCUCACAACCGACGCAGCCUCCCUGAGCUUGUUUCGAGUGUGGUGAUACAUGUCAUAUUGUUAGGGACUGCCCCAGACUUGGUAGGGAUGCAUCUUUAUAGACUGCUCAGCCACAACAUACUUAUUCUUAUGUGUCUUCUUAAUUUACUCUGCAUUUGGGUGUGCCUCGGGAUUCUUUGAGUGCCCCGGUUUAUGUUUCUACUCCUAUGGGAAAUUCUCUAGUUGUGGACCGCGUUUAUCGGUCCUGUUUGGUUAUUAUUCAUGGUUUUGAGACCAGAGCGGAUUUAUUGUUACUCGAUAUGGUUGAUUUUGACAUUAUUUUGGUCAUGAACUGGUUGUCGCCCAAUUUUCCUAUUCGUGAUUGCCACGAAAAGACCGUGACACUAGCUAUGCUAGGUGUUCCGCGUAUUGAGUGGAAUGGUACUUUAGAUAUCACUCCCAGUAGAUUUAUCUCUUUUCUUAAAGCUCAGCGUAUGGUUGGGAAGGGGUAUGCCGCGUAUUUAGCUUAUGUGAGAGAUGUUAGUGCUGAUACCCCUUCUAUUGAUUCAGUUACAAUGGUACAUGCCACCCGAUAGAGAUAUUGAUUUUGGCAUUGAUCUAUUGCCGGACACUCAGCCUAUUUCCAAUCCUCCAUAUCUUAUGGCUCCUCCUAAGUUAAAGGAAUUGAAGGAUUAGUUGUAGGAAUUGCUUGAUAAGGGUUUUAUUCGACCCUGUGUUUCACCGUGGGGUGCUCCUGUUUUGUUUUGUGAAGAAGAAGGAUGUACUAUGCGUACGUGUAUUGGUUAUCUCCAUUUGAACAAGGUUACGGUGAAAAAUCGUUAUUAUUUGCCUCGUAUUAAUGAUUUGUUUAACCAACUUUAGGGCGCACAUAUAUUUUCUAAGAAUGACUUACACUCAGGUUACCAUCAGUUGAAGAUUCGGGAGCCAGAUAUCUUGAAGAAUGCCUUUACGACUCGGUAUUGUCAUUACAAGUACCUUGUUAUGUCUUUCAGACUAAUCAAUGCCUCAACAACUUUUAUGCAUUUGAUGCAUAGUGUGUUCAGGCCAUAUCUCGACUCCUUUAUUAUUAUUUUUAUUGAGGAUAUUCUGGUGUAUUCUCGGUGUCGGGAAGAUCAUGAGCAUCACCUGAGGACCAUGCUUCAAAUCCUGAGAGAGAAGAAGUUAUAUGCAAAGUUCUCAAAAUGUGAGUUUUGGUUGGAUUCAGUGGCAUUCUUAGGCCACGUGAUUUCGAGCUAGGGCAUUUGGGUAGAUCCGAGGAAGAGAGAGGCCAUGCAAAGUAGGACCGAGCCGUCCUCAGCUACAAAUAUUCGUAGUUUCCUUGGUUUGGAGGGCUUUUACUACCAUUUAUGGAGGGUUUUUCAUCGAUUGUGGCCCCUAUGACGAGAUUGACCUAGAAUGGUGCCCCAUUUUACUGGACAGAGCAUGUGAGGCAAGCUUUCAGAGGCUCAACACAGCUUUGACUACAGCCCCAAUUUUGAUAUUGCCUAAUAGUUCGGGGUCUCAUACUAUCUAUUGUGAUGCCUCGAGAGUUAACCUCGGAGCGGUGUUGAUGCAAGACGGUAGGUAUUGCCUAUGCGUCCCAGCAGUUGAAAAUACAUGAGAAGAACUACCCUAUCCACGUCCUUGAGUAAGUUGCUAUUGUUCAUGCCUUGAAGAUCUGGCGUCAUUAUUUUUAUGGUGUGCCUUUUGAAAUUUAUACCGAUCAUAGGAGUUUGCCGCAUUUGUUCGAGCAAAAAGAUCUAAAUUUGCGCUAAAGGAGGUGGUUAGAGUUGCUAAAGGAUUAUGAUAUUACUAUUCUGUAUCACUCGGGCAAGGCCAAUGUGGUAACGGAUUCCUUGAGUCGUCGGGCAGAGAGUUUGGGGAGUUUGGCAUAUUUAGCAGCUUCAGAGAGACCUAUGGCGAUGGAUGUUCAGGCCUUAUCCAGUCAGUUUGUGAGUUUGCGUGGUUUCUCAGUCUUCCUUAUUUGAUCGCAUCAGGAGCAAAAGUAUGAUGACCCUCAUUUACUUGUCCUCAAGGGCACGGUUCAAGAGAUGCGACCACUGGAGAUGACGGGGUAUUGAGGAUGCAUGGGUGUAAUUUUUGUGCCCAAUGUUGAUGGGCUUUGGGAGUUGAUUUAAGGAGAGGCUCAUAGUUCGCAGUAUUCCAUCCACCUCAGUGCCGUAAAGAUAUAGCAGGACUUGACACAACACUAUUAGUAGAGGCGGAUGAAGCAGGAUAUAGUUGGAUCUGUAGCUAGAUUCCUUUACUGUCAGCAGGUGAUCUGAGCACUAGAGACCAGGUUGGUUGCUUCAAUAAAUAGAGAUUCCGGAGUGCAAAUGGGAGAGGAUCACCAUGGAUUUUGUAGUUGUCUCCCUCGGACAUUGAAAAAGUUUGAUACCAUUUUGGUGAUUAUGGAUCGGCUAACCAAGUCUGCUCAUUUUAUCCCUGCCUGUACUACUUAUUCAUUGAAACGGUUGGCGAAGCUUUAUAUUCGAGAGAUCAGUCAUCUGCAUGGUAUUCCAGUUUCUAUUAUUUCGGACAAAGUAACUUAGUUUACAUCAGGGUUUUGGGAAGUCAUUCAGCAAGAGUUGGGUACUCGAGUAGAGUUGAGCACAGCAUUUUACCACCAGAUGAACGGACAGUAUGACCGUACUAUUUAGAUUCUUGGGGAUAUGCUUCGUGCGUGUGUGACUGAGUUCGGAGGAUCUUGGGAUCAGUUCUUCCCAUUGGAGGAAUUUUCUUGAAACAACUGGUACCAGUCCAGCAUUCAGAUGGCACCGUAUGAGGCCUUGUAUAGUAGGCGGUGUAGAUCUCCACUGGGUUGGUUUGAGCCAGGUGAGGCCAGGCUAUUGGGCACAAAGUUGGUUUAGGAUGCAUUAGAGAAGGUCAAGGUGAUUUAGGAUAGACUCUGUACGGCCCACAAAUAGAAGAUUUACACGGACAGGAAGGUUCGUGAUGUAUCGCAUAUGGUCGGAGAGCGGGUUCUGCUUUGCGUUUCGCAUAUAAAAGGCAUCAUAAGGUUUGGAAAGAAAGGAAAGUUGAGUCUGAGGUUUAUUGUCCCUUUUGAGAUUUUGAAGCAAGUUGGGGAGGUUGCUUAUGAUCUUGCCUUACCUCCAAGUUUGGCCAGGGUUCAUCCGAUAUUUCAUGUUUCGAUGCUCUGGAGAUAUCACUGUGAUCCGUCGCACGUGUUGGAUUUCAGCUCAGUCCAAUUGGACAAUAAUCUAUCUUAUGUUAAGGAGCUAGUGGCUAUAUUGGACAUGCAGGUCAUAAAGUUGAGGUCAAAGAACAUUGCUUCAGCAGAGGUUUAGUGCUGGGUUAGCCGGCCAAGGAGGCUACUCAGGAUACCCGGCGGGAUAUGCACGACCGAUACCCUCAUCUUUUCACUACUUCAGGUAUGUUCUCUAUGCUUGUUCGAGAACAAAUGAAUUUUUAAGUGUAGGAGGAUAUGACGACCAGGACGAUCGUCAUAAGAAUUAACAUCCUGAUCCUAUAUUAACUACUUCCCUAAAAUUAUUUCUGCUAUUUUGGUUUGUCGGGACGUUCGGUGUUGAGUUUCUGAGAGUUUGGGACGCUUAAACCCUAAAUAAGAUCUUAUGUGUUGAAAAGUGAUCCGUAGUUCGAAUAGUGCGAAAAUCACCUGGAAUGGAAAUUCGAUGGUUUCGUUAGCUUUAUUAGGUUAUUUCGGGGUUGGGAGCGUGUUCAGAAUGCAUUUUUGAAGUUCGUAGCUCAUUAAGGCUUGAAAUGCCAAAGUUUGUGUCUUUAAAGUUUCCAGUCCGAUAGAGAGUUUUUGAUCCGAGGGUCGGAAUGAAAUUUCGAAAGUUGCAGUAGCUCUGUCAUGUCAUUUGGGAUAUGUGUGCAAAAUUUCAGGUCAUUUGGACGUGCUUUGGUUAGGUUUUUUACCAAAAGCGUGUUUUAAUGAAAUUUGAAGUUCUUAGGCUCGAAUCCUUAUUUAAUUCGAGAUUCUGGAGUUGUUUUAGUUGAUUUAAGGAUUGGUGCAAGUUUGAAUGAGGUAUUAGGUGAUGUUGGUGAUUUUUGUUAAGGCCCGGGAGGCCUUGGGGUGAAUUCAGAUGGUUGGCGGGAGGUUUUUGAAGUUGAAGAGUUGCUAAUGGUUGCUGGUACUUGUCAUAACCGUACUUGCAGUUUGGGUUCUGCAGGUGCGGAGCCGCAGAGGCGGCCUUACCGUCGCAUAUGCGGAUUGGGCCCCCUCAGCUUUUCCGCAGGUGUUGAAGAUUUACUGCAGAUACGGUUUCGCACCUCCGAGUUUGUUAUAUCAGAUGUGGCUCUGGGCUUACUAAGGAAACCCGCAGAAGCAGCUUAAGUUCUACAGAAGUAGUUCCGCAGAAGCGGAAAUCACUAUUCAGAAAUAGAGAUUUCUAGGGUUAGUUUUCAAAAGCUAGAAAAUCAAAUUGAGCUCGGGCAAGGGCAAUUCUCAGUGGGUUUUGAAGCGAAGAUCAUUGGGUAACGUUUUGUUAAUCCUUUUAGGUUAUAUUUCAUCAAUAUAUAAUCAAAUUCAUCUUUUAAAUUCAAAUUUGAGGAUCAAAAUUGGGGAAAAUUGGAAGAAACUUCUUAGGCCGAAAUUCUGAGUUUUGAGCGGGUUUUUGGUAUCCGAUUUGGGAGAUUUUUAUAUGGUUAGACUCGUGAGAGUACGAGGGAUAUGGAAAUGUAAAAUUUUUCUGAUUUUGGAGACGUUGGCCUGAGGGGGGUUUUGGUCAUUUUACCUAAUUUUGUGUUUUAUCUUUGAAUUAAAUAGUAGAAUCAAUUGCUUGAGAUGUUAUUCACAAUAUGUAAUUGAAUUGAAUAGAUUUAGGUCGUUUGGAGUUGGAUACUCGUAGCAAAAGUCUGGUUUCAAGUUGAAUUUGGAGCCGGUUUGAGGUAAGUGGCUUGUCUAACGGUUUGUAGGGGACCUUUCCCCUUAGGAUUUGUUAUUUGGUAAUUGAGUGCCUUGUACAUGAGGUGACUAGCGCAUACUUGAGCUAAUCGUUGAAAAUCCAAUUUUUACUUAAGAUAUUGCGACUGAGUUUCUUUCAUAUUUUCUUUAUUUUACUUGCAACUAUAACCUGUGUUAGAUUAGAAAAACAUGUUUAGUUGAUUUAACUUGCCUACUUGCUUAAGUUUCCUUGACUGUAUUACAUGAAGCAUGUUAGGCUAGUACUACCUGUUGCUUGUCUUGUUGUACUUUCUUUCUGAAUAUCUUCUGGUUGUGAUUGCGCAUUUACAUUGGGACUACGGAUGUGGGAUUCCGGUAUCUCCCCCUCUUCCUUUUUGAAUUUCUUUUGGUUGUGGUUGCGCAUUUACAUUGGGAAUACGGAUGUGGGAUGCCGGUAGCUCCCCCCUCCCCCUUGUUUUUUUUCUUUGGGACUACGAGUUAGAUUUCUGGUAGAUCCUCCUGCACUUUACUUUGGACUACAGGUUCGAUUCCCGGUAGAUCCCCCUGCACUUUACUUUAGGACUACGAGUUAGAUUCCUGGUAGAUCCCCCUGCACAUUGAUGGUUGGACUAUGAGACGGUAUUCUCGGAGAUCCUUCGGUUAUAUUCAUAUGAUGGACUACGGGAUAGUAUCCCCGGAGCUCCUCGAAAAGUUGAUGGAAUAGAUUACAAGACGAUAUCCUAGGAGAUCCUCAUUUGGUAUAUCGGUGUUGAGCUGUAGAUUCCUAUGUUUACUCUGUUCAUUGUUUAUUUGUUGCUGCCUCGUAAAUUCUAUCUUAUUUCACUGUUGUUUCACAUUAUUUCCAUCUUAUUUCAUACUGUACAUUCUUACUAUAUUGUUUAACCUCAGUAGGGCCCUGGCCUUCCUCGUCGCUACCCGGCCGAAGUUAGGUUCGGCGCUUACUGAGUACCAGUGUGGUGUACUCAUGCCCCUCCCCUCGUGCGUAUGUUUUUCAUAUGCAGAUCCAGGUACCUACACUCAGGCACACUAUCCUUGAGGCAAGGAGAGCUACAGAGACUUUGAGAUACAUCUGCCGUGUCCCCAGACCAAAGAGUCUCCUUCAUUACUCUAUUUGUAGUAUUUAGCCUUCAAUCAUACUCUUGUUGUAGACAUUUCUAGAUAUUAGAGCGUUCUACAGUACUUCUUCUAGCUUGUGUUCCCGUGAGUUUCCGUAUUUUGGGAUGAUAUUGUAGACUUCCGCAUUAUUGAGUUGUAUUUUCCGAGUGGCAUUUAUAUACAGUUUUAAUUAAUUAUUCCACAAGUUAUGUUGUUUUUACGCAUUAUUAGACUUACCUAGUUAAAGGGACUAGGUAUCAUCACGACAUGUUCAUGGAGAGCGAACUGGGGUCAUGACACAAACAAAGGUCCAGUGAAAGGUAAACAGAAUUUAAAAACUUAGUAGGAACUGUAGGAAAAGCCUAGGAAAGAACACAAAAGGAAACACAGCAAGAUAAACAUGUGAGAGCAUGACAUAGAAACAUAGUAGAAGAAAGAAAAAGCACAGUAGAAGAAUAUGCAAACAUAAGAACAUAGUAGAAGAUCAUGCAAGGUACAAAAAGAAAAUAUAAGAACAUAGCAUAGACAAAUAUCCACAAAGAAAAGAAAAAGAAAAGUCAAAUAAACAUCUUGAGACUUUCAGAAAUCCUAAAUUGAAGAGAAGUAAUUUUUGAAUGAAAAAAAUGGAGAAAACGCUUUAAAAAUCUAGUAGAGCACAUAUAUAGACUAGAUUUAAGAAGACAAUUAGAGAAACCUCGAAUAGCUAGGGUUUCAGAGGAACCCUAGAAUUACAAAGGCUUUGAAAAAGGUCUGAUCUUAAGUCGGAUGAGUCAGAACCAGGCUCAAAAUGCUUUGGAUACACCAGAGUAAGGCCUGAGAGGCCAUGGAACCGUGAAUCGGAGACGAUCUGAACGGAUACCAUCGAGGUUGGACCUCAAAACUUCGAGCACCAAGCGUUCAAGAGUAGAGGGAGGUGAGUGUAGGUCAUCCAUGGCCUGUGAAGCCAUGGAUUCCGGUGAGGUGGUGGUUGAAAGUGGUAGAAGAGGAUUAGGGUUUCAAGAACAUUCGAGAGAGUUUGAGAGACAAUGGGAUUUCAAGGCGGUUUCUCUGAGUGAAAUGAGUAGGGUUAUGGGGUUUGGUGGAAUUAAAAAGAUAAGGGCCAAUCGUGACUGUUGAUCAAAAUUAUCAACGAUCUAGAUUAAAAGAUUGACCGAGCGGGUUGUAUUGACGGGUUAGGGGUCAGGUUAUUUCAGGGUUUGGGCUGGUCCAAUUCGAGACUGAGGAUUAGGGGAUCAAUUUGGCUACAAUUGAAAUGCAAAUGAGGCUAGUUUUUAAAUAGUCAGUUUUUCCCUUUUAUUUUAUAAAAAUAGUAAACAUGAUUUUUAAAGAAAAUUAAACAUACUGGAUCAGUUAAAAACAAGCAAAUAUUAAUUUAAAAAUAAUGGAACCAAUUUUAUAAUUAUAAAAUGUUAUUAGUUCUCAAUGUAGGCUAAACUUAUAUUCAUAUGAUAUUUGACUUUUAAAAUACCAAAUAAAUUUGUAAAAAUAUAUAAAAAUUACUUCUAGCUAUAUUUUGGUAUAAAUAUAAGAAUAAAAUAAGUUAGUCACAAAGAUAAUAAUUUUGGGAAUAAUUAUUGAUUUUUAUACUGCUAAAAUGGACAAUAAAUUGAUUUAAAAAAGUAUAAAUAUGAGAAUAAAAUAAAUUAUUCACCAAGAUGAUAAUUUUGAGAAUAAUUAUUAGUUUUUAUACUGCUAAAAUGGAUAAUAAAUUGAUUUAAAAUAUUUUUAAAAUUGAAAAAAAUACUAAAACACUUAAGCAUACUUAUAUAUGCAUAUAUAGUAUUUGAAAAUAUUUUGUAUAUAAAAAUAGAAGGAAAAUUGGGUAUCAACACCUGUAGUUGUCCCCUGAUUGGAACCAAUCUUUUGAGGUCAUGUGUGAAGCGUGUGAUACAGCGGUUGGAGCGGUUUUAGGCCAAAAAAAGGAUAAGAUCCUCCAUCACAUUUACUAUGCUAGUAGGAAAUCGAGUGAGAUUCAAGUUAAUUAUGCCACAACAGAACAAGAGUUACUAGCAGUAUUGUUUGCUUUUUGAUAAAUUUCGCUCAUAUUUGAUAGGAACCAAGGUCACUAUUUUUAUUGAUCAUGCAACUUUAAAGUACCUCGUAGCUAAGAAAGAUAUUCGACCUAGAUUAUUAAGGUGGAUUUUACUUAUGCAAGAAUUUGACCUUGAGAUAAAGGGCAAGAAAGGGAUAUAAAACCAAGUAGCUAACCAUCUACAUUAAAAAGCCCUCCCUUUGAGUUUAAUGAGAUAAAAGAAGAAUUUUCUGAUGAACAUAUUUUUUCUGUUAACACAAUUGCGACUCAACCACCCUGGUUUGCAGAUAUUGCAAACUACUUGGUUGGAAAGUGGAUACUGCAAGAUUUCUCUUACCAAUAAAGAAAAAAGCUUAUAUCUGAUGCAAAGUAUUAUUUGUGGAAUGAACCUUACUUAUUAAAAAAUUGUGCAGAUAAUACCAUUAGAAAUAUGUACCUGAAGAAGAGAUUAAUAAAAUUCUAUAUCACUGUCAUGAUGGAGCAAUUGGAGGACACUAUGCAUCAAAUCGAACAGCUUUUAAAGUUUUAGAAGUCGGAUUCUUCUGGCCCACACUCUUUAUAGAUGCCUGAGUAUAUGUAGCACAAUGUGACAGGUGUCAGAGAAUAGGUGAUAUCACUAAGAGAGACGAGAUUCUACUGCAAUCAAUACAGGUAUGUAAAAUAUUUGAUGUUUGGGGAAUAAAUUUUAUAGGUCUUUUUCCUUCUUCUCACUCUUUUGAAUGUAUCCUUGUGGUUGUGGAUUAUGUGUCAAGAUGGGUUAAAGCCAUCUCCACAAGAAAGAAUGAUACGAAAAAAAUACUUUUACUAGAUUUAGCACACCGCGAGUUAUCAUUAGUAACCAAGGAACUUAUUUCAUCAAUGGGCAAUUUUCUGCUUUACUGUCAAAAUAUAAUGUGACUCACAAAACAGGAACACCAUAUCAUGCUCAAACUCAAGGGAAAGUUGAGAUUUCCAACCCUAGUUAAAAAGAGUUCUUGAAAAAAGGUUAGAAUAUCAAGAAAAGACUGGGCUUUAAAAUUAGAUGAUGCAUUAUGGGCAUACUGAAUGGCAUUCAAAAUGCCAAUUGGAACAUCUCCAUACAGAUUAAUCUUUGAAAAAGCCUGUCAUUUUCCCAUAGAGUUAUAACAUAAAGCUUUUUGGGCAUUGAAAGCACUGAACUUUGAUUUAACCUCCGCUAGUAAAAAGGGAUUUAUUUAGGUUAAUGAAUUGGAAGCACUGAGAUAAAGAGCCUACAAAAAUGCUAAAUUUUUUAAAGAAAAAACAAAAAUAUGGCAUGACAAAUUGAUCCGGCCAAAGAGUUCCAAAAUUAGAGAUUAGGUACUUCUUUAUAAUAGCCGACUCAGGUUAUUCUCAGGUAAAUUAAAAUCCAGGUGGACGGUUCCUUACAAUGUUAUAGGUGUUACUCCAUACGGAAUAAUUGAAAUUCAGAACAAUGGAGACAAGUUUAAGAUAAAAGGUCAUAGGCUAAAAUUGUACUACGGAAGACAUUUUGAACAUCAUUCAUCGGUUACUUUGAUAUACUGAUGAAUUCUGCAAUUAAUAAGUCGAGCUGACGACGUUAAACUCAGAACUAAGAUACAAAACCCAUAGCCAUUAAGGGAGAAGCAAUUGAGCCUCAUAAGCCCGACAUAGAUUUGGGUAAUUAGAUGCUUACUUAAUUGAUCUGUUCAAUAUCCAGGUUACUUUACAAUCAGAACAUCUCAUGAAUGUCUCUAUAAAAAUAGUGUCACCUGUACAGGAGUAACUCCAUGGUGAUCGGUAUGCCUAAGUAUUUGAUUGAUUAACCAUUUAAUGAAUCAAUUCAAAUGUUGGCACAUGUAAAUUUAAGUUCCCGUAUCCAUUGAGGGAGAAGCAGUGGAGCCUUAUAAGCCCGACAUAGUGCUUAAUUAAUUCAAAUGCUUACUUAAUUUAUCUGGUCAAUAUUCAGGUUACUAUAUAAUCAGAACAUCUCAUGAAGGCCUCUACAAACACAUAGUCACCUGUAUAGGAGUGACUCUAUGGUGAUCGAUGUGAGCAUAUGAUUUUUGACCAGUCGAAAUGAUCUCCUAUCGAACUCUAAAAAUGUAGGAUUUUUCUUUAAAUGUUAGGAUUUUAAUUUUUAGUAUCUGACUGCAUGUGCAUGUUCAUUACUGCGUGUUUAGGAUUAAUUGGGAUUUAAUUAUUAAAUAAUUAGUUUUAUAAAUUAAAAUACAAAAAAAUACAUAGACAUUUCCGGUACUUUAGAUUAUGUUUGUCCAAUUUUGACUUGUUUUAAUUUUAUUUGUGGUUUGUGGUUUUUAAAUACAAUUAGUAAUUAAUUUUGAUUAAAAUAAAAGACAAAAAUAUAUUAAUAAUAGGCAGCCACUCAGGCUGGCCACAAUUGGGCCAGACCUGAGUUGCCUAAUUUCUUUCCUCCUCCAAAUCACUAUACAAACCAGCCAAUAACCAGCCAGUCCAGUCCACGCCCACAUCCACCCAAAUGACACCGUUUAGGACUCCUUCCAUUAAAACCGUCGAUCCUCACACAAUCCAAUGGCCACUAAACCCCCACCCAAAACCAUACUUAUAUGUCCAAAUGCCUCUAAUACAGAUGAAAGACCAACCAACCUCCUCGUACCUUCUUCAUCGUAUAGUAACGCCGACCAUUUACUACCCCAUCAACACCCAUUGACCACCCCAUCACCACCGUUGACCACCAGUUGACCACCCUACUGCAGCCGCCGGAAAUUGCCUCACGGCAGCGGCCGACAACCAAACAGCCCCAAAAUUAUACCCCUCAAUCAGCACGACCUCCUCUACCCCAUCCCAUAACCAGUUCCCUUCGAACACAUACCCUCCGUCUCGAAUAUCUCUUUAAAGGUUCCGGGAAACCCUACCUCCGGCGACCUCAUUCCAAAGCUUCCCAAAACUACACCACCAAGACACCUUGACCUCCCCGUUCAAACCAUGCAUAUCAGCACUCUCAAAUCACCCUGAAACACUUCGAAUUUCAAUUUAUAGCCUGACCCCAAAUCCCCAAACAUGCCGAAAAAUCCUCAAAACCCUCCCAGGUAGUCCCAAACCCCUAUUGACCCUAAUCGUGCCACCCUUAAGUCUCAAACAACCCCCAACCACUUAAAAUUCCAAAUCUUAGACCUAUUGAGGUUUCAGAAGUGUGAAACCCCUCAAGGACCCUUAUGAUUGGUUGUAUAUUGACCAAGGAGGCUCAGAACCCUGUGGAAAGGGCCAAGGUAUAGCUGAACUGAAUUAAACAAGAACAAAAAGUGAGAGCUAAGUUUCCCUGCCUAGUUUCAUUUUUCUUUAGCUUUGAAUGUCGGAUUUCUUUUAAUGACUGAUUAGUUAAUUGCAUGGUUAAUGAUUUGAGUUUCUUUAUGUGAUUUUCUUUUGAUUGUGUGUCUUGAUUAUCCACAAGUUCUUCUAAAAAUUAGGGUUCAUUAUUCAUAUGUUUGUUUGUUUGUCACUAGCCUGGAAUAACUAAUUAGGUUCAUAUAUGUUACAAAGUCUAAAUUUCUUUUUAUUUUGGUUGUUUAUCUGGUUAUCCAAAAAGUUCUCCUAAGAUUAGGGUUUAAUGUUCAUAUGUUUGUUGUUUUUCAUUAGUUCAUGUCCUGUUAUAAUUAGAUUUUAAGUGAUAUGAUUCUCAUAAUUUGACGAACCUUAUUGAUUUUCUGAUUUUCUGAUUGGUUUGACUGUUUGAUUGUGUUACUGAAUGCCUCGUUAGUAGUUCAUAAUAGUUUUGGUCCUCAAUAUUCAUUUUGAUUUUUUAUCCUAUAUUGUGUGUGGAAAUCUUUAUUAAGGCAUUUGUGUUAAGCCUUGUCAAUUUUGGCUAGUUCUGAUACUCAUAAGCUUGUUAGUUUAAAAGGUGAUCUUAAUUUGGCUCACCAAGGUUAAUUGUGAUUGAACUAGGGUUAAAAGGACUGAUCAAGGUCAAGUUCAGGGGUAGGGUAAUUUAGGAAAGCUAAUGAGUGUAUAAAAGGGUUUUGAAUUUGUAAAAAUCUGAUAAGGAAUCUUUUAGAACCUUCUAGCAGGGACUAAUACAUAAUUCCAGACUCGAACUUGAGGCACAAGUUAGAAAUUGAAGGACUACUUAGGCAAAAAUAUAAUUUGAGUUGAGGACGAAAAAGAAAACUAGUAAAAAUCUGAUGCCCUAACAGUUUUGCCAUAAAUUGAACCACUUGGGGCAUUAGAUAGGAUCCGAAACUUUUCUCUACAAUUCUAAUGCUGAUAUACCGAUUCUAUAUCUGAAAAUACCAUUAGGAUUGUUUUGAAUUAUUUUCUGAAGAUAUAACUCUCUAAAAACUCUGCUGUAGUCUGGAAAUACUGUUUAAUUGGUUGUUGGUUGCUUAGCUGAUCUACUCUAUUGACUCAUAGGCCUGUUUUUCUGCUUCUUUACAUGUUCAGUCAAUGCUUUUGUAUCCAUCAGGUUCAAAUCAAAUAUACAAUCCAAUGUGAAGAUUUAGUUGCCAUUUGUAUUUUUGAAGUUUACCCCCUCCAUUCUCCCCUGUUUAAUUUUGAAUAUAGGUGUAGUCAUAGAAUGAUCAUAAUAUUAUAGUUAAUAUUUGACUGAUCCGCUUCUACUAAUUUGAACAUUUGGGACUGUUUGUGUGUGUAAUAAUUGGAUAUUCAGCUCAAAUAUAUGUAUGUGUUUAAGUAGUGAUUAAUUCCAAUUCCAGUCCAGCUGGUUCAAGUGCUGAACCUGUGCACUUAGAACUACUGGACUUAGAAGGCAGCAGUCCUGAUAAUCAUGUAAAACAAAUCAAAAUAUUGUGAAACAUUAUUGUUCAUUUGAGUCUCAGCAUGUUUAAUGAUAAGUUAUUUUCAGAUUUAUCCCUGUAGUAUAACUGGAAUCCCAACUGAAUUUUUGAAAUUAGAUUCACAUACUCUGAAUGAUGAGUAUGUGAAUCACUGGAUUCAAAUUUAUUGUUAGAAAAUUGGAAAAAAAAUGGUUGUUAAUAUUACCCUUUGUGAAUGUGUAGAGUUUUGACUUUGUAUAUAAUUUCAAACCAAAUUGGCUAUAAACAGUUGAAUUCUUCAUUUAAGUUAGUACUGGGCUCCUUCGAGAGGCCCGGUAAGCACCAAGAAAUUAUAAUACUGUUCUCUUUCGAAUUAGAAUAAUCAAAUGUUCGGGCCAGUCAUGGAACAAGCGCAAUGGAUAUAGAUACAGCGUGCUAUGGGCUGGCCACCGUCGCCGGUUCCGACAGCUACGUCUCUCUCCUCUUCCUCUUCUCUCUCUUCUCUCUCUCCUCUCUCGUCUUUUCUGACUGCACAGUGCUGUCGGAACACUGUUCCGACAACUCACGGUGGUCUUUCUUCGACACCUCCUACACCGUCGAGACACACAGCGUCAGGCGCACACCCUCUGCAAAUUUCGUCGCCGGAAGCUGCCUUACGCGCCGCCGACGACCACUCACGCGCCGCCAGCGACACCCACGCGCCACGCGCGUGAACACUGUUCCGGUCACUUUUUCCACCGGCUCCUUUUGGACUUCGCCGGAAGCUGCCUCACGCGCCGCCGACGACCACUCACGCGCCGCCAGCGACAACCACGCACCACGCGCGUGAACACUGUUCUGGUCACUUUUUCCACCGGCUCCUUUUGGACAGUUUUUUCCCCCCACAAUUCCGACCAACUCGGNNNNNNNNNNNNNNNNNNNNNNNNNNNNNNNNNNNNNNNNNNNNNNNNNNNNNNNNNNNNNNNNNNNNNNNNNNNNNNNNNNNNNNNNNNNNNNNNNNNNNNNNNNNNNNNNNNNNNNNNNNNNNNNNNNNNNNNNNNNNNNNNNNNNNNNNNNNNNNNNNNNNNNNNNNNNNNNNNNNNNNNNNNNNNNNNNNNNNNNNNNNNNNNNNNNNNNNNNNNNNNNNNNNNNNNNNNNNNNNNNNNNNNNNNNNNNNNNNNNNNNNNNNNNNNNNNNNNNNNNNNNNNNNNNNNNNNNNNNNNNNNNNNNNNNNNNNNNNNNNNNNNNNNNNNNNNNNNNNNNNNNNNNNNNNNNNNNNNNNNNNNNNNNNNNNNNNNNNNNNNNNNNNNNNNNNNNNNNNNNNNNNNNNNNNNNNNNNNNNNNNNNNNNNNNNNNNNNNNNNNNNNNNNNNNNNNNNNNNNNNNNNNNNNNNNNNNNNNNNNNNNNNNNNNNNNNNNNNNNNNNNNNNNNNNNNNNNNNNNNNNNNNNNNNNNNNNNNNNNNNNNNNNNNNNNNNNNNNNNNNNNNNNNNNNAGGUGAGGGUGGGAAGAGGGCAGCGGACGCCCAUAGAUUAAGGAUUGGGUCAUGGAACAUAGGCUCUUUGACGGGUAAGUACAUAGAGUUGGCGAAGGUUCUUCACAAGAAGAGGGUUAACAUAGCGUGCGUCCAGGUGACUAGGUGGAAAGGGACGAAGGCGUGGAAUGUUGACGGGUUUAAGCUGUGGUAUUCUGGGCUCGUGAGGGGUAAGAAUGGAGUGGGCAUCUUGGUUGAUNNNNNNNNNNNNNNNNNNNNNNNNNNNNNNNNNNNNNNNNNNNNNNNNNNNNNNNAAGAAUGGAGUGGGCAUCUUGGUUGAUAGGGACCUAAGGGAGUCCGUGGUCGAGGUUAGGCGAGUGAAUGAUAGGUUAAUGUCUAUUAUGCUGGUUAUUGGGGGUGGCGUUCUCAACGUCAUCAGCGCUUACGCGCCGCAAGCAGGCUUAGACGAAGAGGCUAAAAGGCGCUUUUGGGAGGACUUGGAUGAUCUGGUGGUUAGUAUUCCCCAAUCUGAGAAGUUAGUUAUUGGAGGGGACUUUAAUGGUCAUAUUGGGGCUGAGGCUGGUGGCUAUGAUGAGGUGCACGGUGGUUUUGGCUUUGGGGCCAGGAGCGGAGGAGGCACUUCGCUGAUUGAUUUUGCCAGGGCUUCCGAGCUCCUGAUUUCGAACUCGACAUUCCGGAAGAGGGAGGAGCAUUUGGUCACCUACAAGAGUUCGGCGGCGAGGACUCAGAUUGAUUACAUCCUCAUCAGAAGGAGCGAUAGGGGUUUGUGCAAGGACUACAAGGUUAUUUCGGGAGAGUCUCUUUCAACUCUCCAUAGACUACUAGUGAUGGAUGUUGAUCUCUGGGUGAAGAAGAAUAGGAGGGGCGCCCGGGGUCUACCGCGAAUUAGAUGGGGAGCUUUGUCUAAGGAGAAAGAACAGGAGUUGGAAAGGAGGUUAGUGGAGGGCGGAGCUUGGAGAAGUUAUGGGGAAGCGGACGCNNNNNNNNNNNNNNNNNNNNNNNNNNNNNNNNNNNNNNNNNNNNNNNNNNNNNNNNNAGUUAUGGGGAAGCGGACGCUAUGUGGACAGUGACGGCAAACUUGGUUAGGGGGGUAGCACGGGACGUGCUCGGGGUAGCUAAGGGAUAUUCAGGUAGACACCAGGGUGAUUGGUGGUGGAGCGAGGCAGUCAAAGGAAAAGUGGAGGUGAAGAAGGUCGCGUUCGCUAGGUUGGCAGGGAGCACAAGCGAGGAGGAGCGGAGUGCGAACAGGUUGAUCUACAAGGAGGUGAGAAGAGAAGCUAAGAUGGCAGUCACGGAAGCUAAAGACGCGGCGUUCAGUCGCAUGUAUGAGGAACUUGGGGAGAGAGGUGGGGAUAAGAAGUUAUUCCUGUUGGCUAAAGCAAGGGAAAGGAAAGCACGUGAUCUAGACCAUGUCAGGUGUAUCAAGGAUGAGGAUGGUAGAGUUCUGAUGGGGGAAUCUCAUAUCAAACAGAGAUGGCAGGCGUACUUUCGGGACCUUCUUAACGAGGAGGGGGAUCGGAGCAUAGAGCUAGGNNNNNNNNNNNNNNNNNNNNNNNNNNNNNNNNNNNNNNNNNNNNNNNNNNNNNNNNNNNNNNNNNNNNNNNNNNNNNNNNNNNNNNNNNNNNNNNNNNNNNNNNNNNNNNNNNNNNNNNNNNNNNNNNNNNNNNNNNNNNNNNNNNNNNNNNNNNNNNNNNNNNNNNNNNNNNNNNNNNNNNNNNNNNNNNNNNNNNNNNNNNNNNNNNNNNNNNNNNNNNNNNNNNNNNNNNNNNNNNNNNNNNNNNNNNNNNNNNNNNNNNNNNNNNNNNNNNNNNNNNNNNNNNNNNNNNNNNNNNNNNNNNNNNNNNNNNNNNNNNNNNNNNNNNNNNNNNNNNNNNNNNNNNNNNNNNNNNNNNNNNNNNNNNNNNNNNNNNNNNNNNNNNNNNNNNNNNNNNNNNNNNNNNNNNNNNNNNNNNNNNNNNNNNNNNNNNNNNNNNNNNNNNNNNNNNNNNNNNNNNNNNNNNNNNNNNNNNNNNNNNNNNNNNNNNNNNNNNNNNNNNNNNNNNNNNNNNNNNNNNNNNNNNNNNNNNNNNNNNNNNNNNNNNNNNNNNNNNNNNNNNNNNNNNNNNNUGCCGGAAGCCUAUAUCAGAGUAAUCAAGGACAUGUAUAAUGGAGCUAAGACUAGGGUUAGGACGGUGGGUGGCGUAUCAGACCAUUUUCCUGUGGUAAUGGGGCUCCAUCAAGGAUCGGCGUGAGCCCCCUCUUAUUUGCCGUAGUGAUAGAUGCUCUAACCCGACAUAUCCAAGGGGAUGUGCCUUGGUGUAUGCUUUUUGCGGAUGAUAUAGUAUUGAUAGGCGAGACGAGGGUCGGUGUUAGCUAAAGGUUAGAGGUAUGGAGAUGGACCCUCGAGUCUAAUGGUUUCAAAAUAAGCAGAUCAAAGACAGAAUACCUGGAGUGCAAGUUUGGCGGCAAGCCGAGUGGGGUAGGAAGGGACGUGAUGCUUGAUUCUCAGGCCAUCGCCAAGAGGGAUAGUGUCCGAUAUCUUGGGUAUGUGAUUCAGGGGGACGGAGAGAUUGACGGGGACGUCACCCAUCGAAUAGGAGCGGGGUGGUCAAAGUGGAGGCUUGCUUCAGGGGUCCUGUGUGACAAAUUCGAGAGAAGCUGGGGGUGGCCCCGGUGGAUGAGAAGAUGCGAGAAGCGAGACUGAGGUGGUUCGUGCAUGUGCGGAGAAGAAGUCUCGAUGCCCCGGUGAGGAGCUGCGAGUGGCUGGAGAUUGUUGGCGGUCGGCGAGGAAAAGGGAGGCCUAAGAAGCAUUGGGGAGAGGUGAUUAGGCAGGACAUGUCUAGAAUAUAGGUUUCCGAGGACAUGACCCUUGAUAGGGGAGUCUGGAGGUCUAGAAUCAGGGUUGUAGACUAGGGGCUCAUAGAGUUCUUCGUACGCCUCACCCGGAGUUGGGUGUGGGAUAGGAGGGUCACCCAUAGAUGAUUAGUGUUUUUGCUUAUGUCCCCUUAUGGUUGUUAGUAUGGUAGUUACGGUUUGUUAUUAUUGCAUGCGACUGUAUUUAUGUUUCUUAUGUUUAUAUAAUUAUUUACGUUAUUUCUAUGGGAUUUACUAAUGCUUUAUUGUUUUGUUUUGUCUUGUUUUUGUUUCUAACUUUGUCUUUGUUUUUGUUUUUGUUUUUGUUUUUGUUUUUGUUUUUGUUUUAAUUCAGCUUUUCAUUUUAUCCUAUGCGCCGAGGGUCGAAUGGAAACAGCCUCUCUACCCUUUCGGGNNNNNNNNNNNNNNNNNNNNNNNNNNNNNNNNNNNNNNNNNNNNNNNNNNNNNNNNNNNNNNNNNNNNNNCUUUCAUGAAUGAUUUGUUGAUGUUAACAGCCUCUCUACCCUUUCGGGUAGGGGUAAGGCUCGUCUACAUAUUACGCUCCCCAGACCUCACCUGGUGGGAAUAUACUGGGUAGUUGUUGUUGUUGUUGUUGUUGUGCUAUCGGCUGGCCCAAACCUGAGUUCAUGCACACGAUUGGCCAUGAAUGAGGCUAAGUGCGAAUACUGCUUCUCCAAAUACACAACCUGUACAUAAAUCAAUUAGUGCAUUUAAGCACUCACAAGAGUAGAAAAUUUAGCAUACAUUAAAAUACCUUUAUAAAAUAAAAGUGAACAAUCUUAAUUCAAACAAAUACAUAUGAUGGCUCUUUACCCUAUUAAGACCCGUAUAAAAUCGAAGUGCCGUUUAACAAAUUUCACGGCCUUUCACGAAUUUCUAAAGAUGUAGUUGCUAUAGGUACGAAUUUAUUAAUGAAAUAUGUUCCUAAAAUUCGGUGCGCAUUUAUGUGACCCAAAUCCAAAUUUCAACGAAGUUGGAACGUGUCAAAAUCCACGGGUGCAUUUAUGUGAGGUGGUUUGAGGCCUGUUCUAACGACGUUGCAAUUCUCUUUAAAAUAAUAAUAAAAGCGGUUUAAAGCUAAAAAGCACAUAAGUUAAAACAUGUGCUAAAAUUGGAUAAUUUAAUCCAAAUAAGACAGUUGAGCGACCGUGCUAGAACCACAGAACUCAGAAAUGCCUAACACCUUCUCCCGGUUUAACAGAAUUCCUUACUCGGAUUUUUGGUUCGUAGACUGUUAAACAGAAUUAUUCUUUCCUCGAUUUUGGAUUCUAACCGGUUACUUGGGACACCAAAAAUCUUCUAAGUGGCGACUCUAAUACUAUCUUAAAUAAAUGAAUCUCGUUUCGAUUGUCCUUAUUUUGGAAAAACUCCCUUUAUCUACGCCAUUCGCCGGGUGGUAGUAGCCAACAAGGAGGUGUGACAAUCGGUAUGCCUAAGUAUCUAAUUUAUUAACCAUUUAAUAAAUCAAUUCAAAUAUUGGCAUGUGUAAAUUUGUUGUUUUAUAUUUAAAUCGGGGUCCAAAUGACUGAUAAGGUCAUAAAUCAGUCAGUCUACAACAUAUAAAAGUAUGUAUAGUCACACACGCUUUUAAGUUUUUUCCUCUCUCUCUCUCAUAUAUAUAUAUAUAUAUAUAUAUAUAUAUAUAUCUUUUAUUUUAUUCUUAAUUUUUGUUCUUGUGCAAUAUUAAUGUUUUAAAAUAAAAGUUUAUAUAUUUUUCAAAGAUAAUUUUUUUUAUUUAUAUCAUAUAUAACUUCCAAGUUUGUGAUUUUAUUUUUGUGAAGGCAAGGACGAGUAUAUCCAAAUUUUAGAGAGUGUUGGAAUUGAGAAGCAUUAUGAUUUCAACAGGUAGAAUCAAUAAAAUUCUGCUAGAACUUGCCUAAAUGUCUAUCAAGACGAAAUUCUAGACAACACUAUUUUUAAAAUUAAACUAGAUUUUCUUUGACACUCUUUUUAGCCUAUCUAUUUUUAACCACAAAUAUUUAUAUUUUAUCUUUUAUCAUCCAACUUUGAGCCAAAACAAAAGAAAAAAAGGGACAAACUAACUUUUAUUGAUACACCAUAUUGGUUUAUCUUACAAAAAAAUUAAUACUACUCCUUCCGGCUAUAGUUGAAAAAAUGAGUAUUAAAGCAAGCGACGGAGGAAUACUUGUGGUGUGAAUGUUCUAUUUCACUCUUCAUAAAAAUAGAGAAAAAAAUAUGUAUAUAAAUGUAAAAUAAAUUAUUGUUUCAAGAAGAUUGAAUUUAAGGAAUCUAUAUAGAGAAAUGAUGACUUAAGUGGUAUUAAUUAUGGAAUUGGGACCGGGACCUUUAGCCAAAUCUCUAGAGUUAUUUUCUUUGUGUUGGGUUGUAUAUAGUUAUUUUGGUAAAAUAAUCGACUCGCACAAUAAAGUUGGAUGGAACAAAGUCACUACAAAUAUAUCAUUUUACCUUACCAGCAUUAAGCCUGAAAAGGUCCUAAAAUAAUUUAAAAAUUUAGUGUCGAUUCUACAUUAGUUGAGACUGACAUGAAGGGUAUGCAUUUGGAAAAAUUUGAGAAACUCAAAAUUGAAAUCAUAAUGUUAUCAUCUCAAAAGGUUCCUCAAAGAGAAGUUGAAAGUUUUUGGCAAACAAAAGCAGAAGCAGAAACAAGGUAUAGAUUCGGCGACUUGAAAAACUAAUAAGUUUUGAAAUUUUUUUUUUUUUUACUUUUCUUCUCUACAAGAAAAACAAUUAUUAAUAAAAUUACUACCUCGAGGACGAGCAGGGAUUCAAGUGCGGGGGAGUUCGAUGACUAUAAAAUAUUCAUAUAUUAUACAAUUAAAAAUAAAUUAUUUUAAAUUAUAUAUAUAUAUAUAUAUAUAUAUAUAUAUAUAUAUCAAUUAUCUGUAUUUUCUAAUAGUAUUUUGCAGAAAAUAUAAAGAUCAUGAUAAAGCAAAUAAUCAAAUAAAAGAGAUCACAAUGCAUCAUGGCAAAAGAACCACGAGGCGUCAUGACAACUGAAGCACAGUGCAUCAUGACAAAAGAAGCACGAGGCAUCGUGGCACUUUAUGAGAUUUGAUUUAUAUAAAAAUGAUAUCAUAGUUGUGUUGAAGGGGAGAGAAGAUCAUACGUACCCACUUAAUAAUUUUUCUCUAGUAUUGGUCUUUGCUUCUCUCUUUAUACAUUUCACCUUAUCUUUUAGCCUUUUGGAUUUUCUAAGAGUAUUGAUCGUAUUUUAAGAAUUCCUUUCUUUGUGAAUACUCUAUAAUGGAGUAUUCUCUUUUGCUAGGAUGGUUGAUGGAGCUCGAUAUUGGUAUAGUAUUGAUCUCAAUUUUACUACAUGCCUGACCUGAAUCUUUCUAAUUAUAUUUCUAUAUUGUAGUGGAAUGUUAGUAUUAGUUAAUUAUUAUUACUUAUAUCUAUUUGUUCUCCAAUAUUAGUUGUCUGUCAAUUUUAUAAUUCUCAGAAAGCUAAAUUAAUAUACGAUAACUAUUGGGCAAGAUAAUAGAGUGAGAGUAAUUCUUUUUAAGCUAUCAUUUCAAGUCUUUAAUCUUGCUUACUUCUAUUUUAAUUCUCACUUAGGAGUUGUAGUUGGAAAGAUAACUAAUUUUUUAGUAAAAAGUAAUCGCAAGAGGUUUUUACUAUCUUUUAGCCCAAUUCAGACAAGAAAAUUAUUUCAGUUUCAUUAUCACGUGUCAUAUAUCAAUUUAUUUAAAUAACUCAUGGAGUAUUAUUAAUUGAUUCUUUCUUAGUAAGAAAAUAUAAUUAUAUUAGCAAUAAGCAGUUAUUCCUAAGAAAAAUACACGUAGAAGCUAAGAUUUUAUUGUUAUCACGCUAUCGAGUGAAUUCAAUGAUUCCUAACUCUUUUUAAAUAUAAAUCUUCCAAAAGUUAUUUUGUUUCAAUUUUGAACAAACAAAAUUUUAUUAAUUUUGUUCUCUCAAAUAGUAGUAAGAAUAAUAUAAGUUUAUAGCUAGAUUCUCUAAUCUCUAUGGGACGAUAUCAUAAACUAUACUAGAAUUUUACAGAGUACGAGACCCUUGACCUCAUCAGAAAUACUCAAUUGAAUAUGAAGUCUCGAUAAGAAGAAUAUUAUAACUUAUAAGACUAGGAAAAUAUACGUAAAUUCUGGGACAUGAAUUUUUAUUUAUGCCUCGUUUUCAAACUUGUGUAAUUACGAGAUCAUGCAAAAUGGAGGAAGAGCUUGGCCUUAAUAUACCUGAACUGAUUCU